rnacentral:lncRNA from 1 species
AGAGAACGAAAUUAUAGAUUGAAGAACGAAAUUUUAUUGCUAAAAUGAAAAGUCAAAACUGGAAUUGCAAAACAAAAAAGUGUCUAAGAAAAGCCUAAAACUAAAAACGAAAAUAGGAGAGAGAAGAAGAGAGAGAGAGAGAGAGAGAGACUAAAACUAAAAACGAAUAAUCGAAGAGAGAGCCUAAACUAGAACCUUGGUGCUGUUAUAUAGUUUUUCAGUCCCAAAGCUUACAAAUCUGUUUUAAAUCCAGGCCCAUAAACAAAUUAAAUUCAAAUCUAGAUAAGAUAAGAUAAGAUCUAGAUUAAAUAAUAUCUAGAUGAGAAAUUCAAAUCUAGAUAAGAUAAGAUCUAGAUUAAAUAAUAUCUAGAUGAGAUCAAAUCUAAAUAAUAUUUAGAUAAGAUAAAGAUAAGAUAAGAUCUAAUUUUGUAGAAUAAAAUAGUCUGCCCUCUUCAAGUCCAAGCUCAAUUCUGGAUUCAAGCCCAAGCCCAAUUCUGGAUUCAAACCCAAUGCUUCAUUAAUUCCUGAAAUUAGAUUAAAAACAUCAAAUUAGCUGAAUGGGCCCAAAUAAUAAAACUGCCUAAUAAAUUUGACAAUUAAGACUAAUCAGUAUUUAAAAUGGGGCAAAAAGGGUUAAGAAAUAGGAGAAAAUGAUGGCACAUCAGCGGCGUAGCUAAUCCGUGAUCGAGUAGAGAUGGAGUGCCUAGAGGGAUCUUGGGAGACCCUCGAAGGCAACACGAGGUGCCGAUUUCGGGGCACCAUUCGAUUCAUGGCUACUUCUUUGAUGCAUCCAGAUGAACCUGCACGGACGCUUCAGCGCACGAUGGAGUGGAUACUACCCACGCCUACACCAUAUCGUCUAGUGGAGCCAGUCCAAGUGAUCGAGGUGACGUCAUCCGAGGAAGACCCCGAGGAGGAUCUGGAGGAGCUACCUCCUGAGCCUGCCGUGGAUGCCCUUGACUUUCUAGAGGGUGAUGAGGAUCCACUUCCUGAGGUGGAUUCUCCCGAGGAAGUCAUGUCGGCAUCUGAGGCAGACUCUACGGAGGAUAGUGGCCCGAGGGAGAUGGCGAUCAGCGGAGGCUCUUCAUCAUAGUGGACAGUUCCAUGGAUUAGUUUUAUAUAUUUUUGAGGGUGGGUGUAUCUAGGACUGACUGUUAGGUUUACUCUUUUGUUUUUAUAUGGGUAGACCUGAUGUAUAGGAAAUUUGAUAAUUGUAUACAUGUGGCUGAAGCCAACACUGUGGACACCUUUGCUCUGGAUGACACUAUAUAUUUUGUAAAACUCCCUUAUUUUGGACAGCUUUAAAUGAUGAAUGCAUUUAUAAUCGAUCUUGUUAUUUGAAAAGAAAGCAUUAGCAAUUUUAUUUGUGAAAGAGUUUAUCGACCGUAUUUUAUUCUUUUAUUUUCAUGUGACGACCUAAAGUAAUGGCUGGUACAUUCUUCCUUUUGAAACAGCAAAAUAGUUUAGAGAUUAUGAGCGGUAAGAAAGAAAUGACUCCGAAUAGAGUUGUGAACUGACCAUUCAGGACUCUGUAGUGAGGAUUUUCCUUCUAAACCUAGUUAUGGUGAAAAGAGAAAGAAAUGAAAAAGAAAAAGAAGAAAAAAAAAUUUACCAUGGUUUUUGUUAUUUAAAUUAUUACUAUUAAACCAGUCAUUAAUUUAGGGACGCCACACUCAAGAUUAUAAAUUAUAAUCAGCAACUAAAUUUGAAGCAUCCUAAUUCCUAAUCAUAACUAAUGUAGAAACAUUAGCAAUUGUAACAUCUGCAGCAGAUGUACUAUUGUUUGUUGUCUGAGUUUGCCCCCAAGACUUAGCUGCAGGCAUUGAAUUUGGCAUUGACACAGUUGAACAUGGAUUGAGAUGGUCACAGGUCAGAAACACUAUGGGGUAGCAGUCCCAAUUUUUUCUAGGAAAGUAGCAGCAUGAUAGUUACAGAAUUAGAUUGCAAAGAAGCUGACGCUGCCGUCUGGCCGGGCUCGUGUCAUUACCCCUUUCUUNNNNNNNNNNNNNNNNNNNNNNNNNNNNNNNNNNNNNNNNNNNNNNNNNNNNNNNNNNNNNNNNNNNNNNNNNNNNNNNNNNNNNNNNNNNNNNNNNNNNNNNNNNNNNNNNNNNNNNNNNNNNNNNNNNNNNNNNNNNNNNNNNNNNNNNNNNNNNNNNNNNNNNNNNNNNNNNNNNNNNNNNNNNNNNNNNNNNNNNNNNNNNNNNNNNNNNNNNNNNNNNNNNNNNNNNNNNNNNNNNNNNNNNNNNNNNNNNNNNNNNNNNNNNNNNNNNNNNNNNNNNNNNNNNNNNNNNNNNNNNNNNNNNNNNNNNNNNNNNNNNNNNNNNNNNNNNNNNNNNNNNNNNNNNNNNNNNNNNNNNNNNNNNNNNNNNNNNNNNNNNNNNNNNNNNNNNNNNNNNNNNNNNNNNNNNNNNNNNNNNNNNNNNNNNNNNNNNNNNNNNNNNNNNNNNNNNNNNNNNNNNNNNNNNNNNNNNNNNNNNNNNNNNNNNNNNNNNNNNNNNNNNNNNNNNNNNNNNNNNNNNNNNNNNNNNNNNNNNNNNNNNNNNNNNNNNNNNNNNNNNNNNNNNNNNNNNNNNNNNNNNNNNNNNNNNNNNNNNNNNNNNNNNNNNNNNNNNNNNNNNNNNNNNNNNNNNNNNNNNNNNNNNNNNNNNNNNNNNNNNNNNNNNNNNNNNNNNNNNNNNNNNNNNNNNNNNNNNNNNNNNNNNNNNNNNNNNNNNNNNNNNNNNNNNNNNNNNNNNNNNNNNNNNNNNNNNNNNNNNNNNNNNNNNNNNNNNNNNNNNNNNNNNNNNNNNNNNNNNNNNNNNNNNNNNNNNNNNNNNNNNNNNNNNNNNNNNNNNNNNNNNNNNNNNNNNNNNNNNNNNNNNNNNNNNNNNNNNNNNNNNNNNNNNNNNNNNNNNNNNNNNNNNNNNNNNNNNNNNNNNNNNNNNNNNNNNNNNNNNNNNNNNNNNNNNNNNNNNNNNNNNNNNNNNNNNNNNNNNNNNNNNNNNNNNNNNNNNNNNNNNNNNNNNNNNNNNNNNNNNNNNNNNNNNNNNNNNNNNNNNNNNNNNNNNNNNNNNNNNNNNNNNNNNNNNNNNNNNNNNNNNNNNNNNNNNNNNNNNNNNNNNNNNNNNNNNNNNNNNNNNNNNNNNNNNNNNNNNNNNNNNNNNNNNNNNNNNNNNNNNNNNNNNNNNNNNNNNNNNNNNNNNNNNNNNNNNNNNNNNNNNNNNNNNNNNNNNNNNNNNNNNNNNNNNNNNNNNNNNNNNNNNNNNNNNNNNNNNNNNNNNNNNNNNNNNNNNNNNNNNNNNNNNNNNNNNNNNNNNNNNNNNNNNNNNNNNNNNNNNNNNNNNNNNNNNNNNNNNNNNNNNNNNNNNNNNNNNNNNNNNNNNNNNNNNNNNNNNNNNNNNNNNNNNNNNNNNNNNNNNNNNNNNNNNNNNNNNNNNNNNNNNNNNNNNNNNNNNNNNNNNNNNNNNNNNNNNNNNNNNNNNNNNNNNNNNNNNNNNNNNNNNNNNNNNNNNNNNNNNNNNNNNNNNNNNNNNNNNNNNNNNNNNNNNNNNNNNNNNNNNNNNNNNNNNNNNNNNNNNNNNNNNNNNNNNNNNNNNNNNNNNNNNNNNNNNNNNNNNNNNNNNNNNNNNNNNNNNNNNNNNNNNNNNNNNNNNNNNNNNNNNNNNNNNNNNNNNNNNNNNNNNNNNNNNNNNNNNNNNNNNNNNNNNNNNNNNNNNNNNNNNNNNNNNNNNNNNNNNNNNNNNNNNNNNNNNNNNNNNNNNNNNNNNNNNNNNNNNNNNNNNNNNNNNNNNNNNNNNNNNNNNNNNNNNNNNNNNNNNNNNNNNNNNNNNNNNNNNNNNNNNNNNNNNNNNNNNNNNNNNNNNNNNNNNNNNNNNNNNNNNNNNNNNNNNNNNNNNNNNNNNNNNNNNNNNNNNNNNNNNNNNNNNNNNNNNNNNNNNNNNNNNNNNNNNNNNNNNNNNNNNNNNNNNNNNNNNNNNNNNNNNNNNNNNNNNNNNNNNNNNNNNNNNNNNNNNNNNNNNNNNNNNNNNNNNNNNNNNNNNNNNNNNNNNNNNNNNNNNNNNNNNNNNNNNNNNNNNNNNNNNNNNNNNNNNNNNNNNNNNNNNNNNNNNNNNNNNNNNNNNNNNNNNNNNNNNNNNNNNNNNNNNNNNNNNNNNNNNNNNNNNNNNNNNNNNNNNNNNNNNNNNNNNNNNNNNNNNNNNNNNNNNNNNNNNNNNNNNNNNNNNNNNNNNNNNNNNNNNNNNNNNNNNNNNNNNNNNNNNNNNNNNNNNNNNNNNNNNNNNNNNNNNNNNNNNNNNNNNNNNNNNNNNNNNNNNNNNNNNNNNNNNNNNNNNNNNNNNNNNNNNNNNNNNNNNNNNNNNNNNNNNNNNNNNNNNNNNNNNNNNNNNNNNNNNNNNNNNNNNNNNNNNNNNNNNNNNNNNNNNNNNNNNNNNNNNNNNNNNNNNNNNNNNNNNNNNNNNNNNNNNNNNNNNNNNNNNNNNNNNNNNNNNNNNNNNNNNNNNNNNNNNNNNNNNNNNNNNNNNNNNNNNNNNNNNNNNNNNNNNNNNNNNNNNNNNNNNNNNNNNNNNNNNNNNNNNNNNNNNNNNNNNNNNNNNNNNNNNNNNNNNNNNNNNNNNNNNNNNNNNNNNNNNNNNNNNNNNNNNNNNNNNNNNNNNNNNNNNNNNNNNNNNNNNNNNNNNNNNNNNNNNNNNNNNNNNNNNNNNNNNNNNNNNNNNNNNNNNNNNNNNNNNNNNNNNNNNNNNNNNNNNNNNNNNNNNNNNNNNNNNNNNNNNNNNNNNNNNNNNNNNNNNNNNNNNNNNNNNNNNNNNNNNNNNNNNNNNNNNNNNNNNNNNNNNNNNNNNNNNNNNNNNNNNNNNNNNNNNNNNNNNNNNNNNNNNNNNNNNNNNNNNNNNNNNNNNNNNNNNNNNNNNNNNNNNNNNNNNNNNNNNNNNNNNNNNNNNNNNNNNNNNNNNNNNNNNNNNNNNNNNNNNNNNNNNNNNNNNNNNNNNNNNNNNNNNNNNNNNNNNNNNNNNNNNNNNNNNNNNNNNNNNNNNNNNNNNNNNNNNNNNNNNNNNNNNNNNNNNNNNNNNNNNNNNNNNNNNNNNNNNNNNNNNNNNNNNNNNNNNNNNNNNNNNNNNNNNNNNNNNNNNNNNNNNNNNNNNNNNNNNNNNNNNNNNNNNNNNNNNNNNNNNNNNNNNNNNNNNNNNNNNNNNGGGGCCAUUGAAGCGGUUGGAAGGGAGCGAGAUGACUCGGAGCUUGGUGAGUCGGUCGAGUUGGGGAGGGAUGGGGCCGGUGACUAUUCCGGGGGAGAGGAUGAGCUGAGUCAACUCGGUGAGUUGGGAGAUUGACUCGGCGGGGAGGGUGCCAGCGAGUGGGAGGGAGGUGGUGCCGAGGGAGAGGAUGGUGACGCGGGAGAGGAAGCACGUGACGCCGGAGAAGGAGGAGCAGGGAUCAGGUGCGGUGAGGUUCCACGUGGAGAAGAAUGACUUCGUGGGUGAGACUUCGGUGAGGGUGUUCUUGAUGGAGAGAAGAGCUUUGAGGUCCGUUGAAUGAAGAGAAGAGGAAGAUGGGGAAAUGAGUGCAAUAAUAAUAAUAAGGAGAAGAAGAUGCAGACGCGGAUGCAGAAGAGGAGUAUUGUAAUAUGGAGUGGACAUUGUUUAUGUUCAAUUGAGUUGUUUUUGAGAGAAAGUUAUGGUGCAGAAGGUGAGGAGAGUGUGACAGACAAAGACGCAGUUAAUGAAACUUGAAAGUUGAAAGAUAGCAGUAUAUAGUGAUAAUUGAUAAAAGGGUGGAAAAGGACAUAGCGGAGCUUUUGGAGCCUUGGGAUUGAUUUUAAAAGCUUGCUGCCUUUCGUUUUCCAUUUUUUUUUUUUUGCUUUCAAAUAAAAAAUUGUCGGUAUUUAUUUAAGAAAGAAAAUGGCUACAAUUGAUUCUGAUCGAGUCAAGAAAAUUUGGAGCUUUAAUUUUUGCCGAUUAUUAUUAUUAGUGUAAAAUUUUUAUUUCAAUUACACAUUAUUUUUAAUAUGAUUUUUAAGGAUAUUAUUUAAAAAAUAAUAAAUCUAUUAUAUAUGUUAAUUUAUAAUUAAAUAAUAAUAUACAUAUUUUUAUGAAGGUAAUAAUUUUUAUGAAUCUAUUAAUAUAUAGAUUAUUUACUCUUAAAUUUAUAUAAUUAAGGGAAUAAAAUACUGCCAGUGGUAUUUUUUAGCAUUUUGUUACUAGGGAUAAUCUAGGAAUUAUCGAUUAAUGUUAGUCUAGUUGCAAUAACACUAGGGAUUCUGAUAGCCUUUUUAAAAAUCUUUUUUACAAUAAAUAUUUAAUAUUUUAUGAAGUAGGAACGUAAUAGAAAAUUUAAAGAAAAAGAAAAGUGAAACAAAAUAAUGAGGAAUAUAAAAGAACAUAUGACUCACACCUAAAUUGUAAUUAAAUAGUUAAAAAAAGUUAAUUGUAUCCAAAAAAUAAUAUUAUAUAUUGGUACCCAAAAAAUAAUAUAAGUUUAUAUAUAUAUAUAUAGACCGACCUACGGCCUAUCAUGCUUUGUAAUAAGUCUAAGUCUGGUCUAUUUGAUUUAAUAGAUUUUUAAAAAAGUUUGAGUCUAACCUCUUAAUUAAAUAGGACAGUUCAGACCAGACUUUAUGUAGGUCAGGUCGUAGGUCCCUGUAGACCGAUCUGACCUAUUCUCACCCCUAAAUAGCACUACUAAAUUAGUUUGAGAGGACAAUUGUUUUGUUUUUCUUUUAGUUUUUUAUUGUUGUCGUUUUGGAUAUGAAUAUUUAAGUUGAAAUCUUAUUUAUUGAACCCGAUAACACUGACCAGAGUGAAGGAGAUUGGUUUUGUUACUAUAGGAGUAGUGUUAGAUGUCGGUGGUGACGAGUGAGAGGGUGAGGGUGAGGGUGAGGGUGAGGGUGAGGGUGGGUAGUGUGGUUGUGUGUGAAGGAAUGAAUGAAGCAGAGAGAGAGGGCUCAUGCAUUGUGACUGAAAUUGGAGAAGUGAGGUGGGUCCCACUCCCAAGAUUUGUGCAGGGGAAUUAACUUACUGCGUUGCAUUAAUGAACCAACAGAUAAGAUAGCUCCGGAAAUCAGAAUCUACAUAGCUGCUUCAAUAACGCCUAUAGUUACCGAAGAAAACAUCAUUGAGAGCAUACUUCUCAAAUGUAGUCUGGUCAUUGAUCCGGCAAGGUAAGGGAUUAGUAGAUUAGUGGUCUAAUAAUGGGUGUGUUAAAAAUUUAAAAUUAUAGUGGUCUAAUAAUGGGUGUGUUAAAAAUUUAAAAUUAUAGUGGUCUAAUAAUGGGUGUGUUAAAAAUUUAAAAUUAUAGUGGUCUAAUAAUGGGUGUGUUAAAAAUUUAAAAUUAUAUAUGCAUUUAUAAGUAUAUAAUUAUCAUUAUUUGAGUAAAAAAAAUCUAUUCAUAUUUUAAAAUAACAAUUAAUAAUAAUAAUAAAAAUUAAAAUAACAUUGUAGAGGUGGUUUAUAUUUUUUUUAUAAAAUCGAUCGGGUCAAAUCAGUUCAAUCGAAAUCCAAUAUUUAACUGGCUGAGUUUGACCGGAUCAAUUGUCUAACCCAUGCAAUUGUAAAAUCAAUUUAGUUAGGUUAUUAGAUUUUAGUUAGACAGAUCCGACCGACGGGACUAAUCUGGAUUUCACAAUGAUUAAGAAAAAGUUUUUAUAGAUCGAAAAGAAGGAAGUAUAUUUUGUUCAUAAAUGUUAACCUGUGUUGUUAAAAGUUUUUUUUUAAGAAAUUAAGGAAUAAAUUUUUUAUUAAGAUAAGAAAAAUUAUAUUAUUUAUGAUUUUUUAAGGAUCUUUACACUAAAUAUUUUUUAUUUUAAUUUUUUAAUCAAUAUCCUAAAAAUAUUAAUAAGAAAGACACUAUUUUGUUUUGUUUUGCACAAAUAAUCUAACCCGGCCAGGUGCACAAUUUCAGCCGUUUAAAAUUUAGGUAAUUACCAUAUACAAAAAAAAAAAAAAAGAUAAUUACCACCUAAAAAUUAGUUAGGGGUAGAACCUCAAAAGCUUGAUUGUUCAAAUUUUAAAAUUCUUAAGAAAAUAAAUGAGUUUGACAAUAAAUGGUGGAAAAUGUGGUCAAGAUAUUGAAACCCUAAGACAGCUCUCAUUUUCGCAAAUCCAUAUUUGAGGCCAUUUAACGAGUUUAUUUCGUUAAUAAACUCAAAUACUGGAGGUAAUAAGUGGCAUGAAAAAUUUUAUUCUAGUCCACAGAAUAAUCAAUGUUCGUUGCCUAAAAUAGAAAGUGGUUUUUUUUUUCCUGAUAUGAAAGGAGCCUUUAUUUAAAAAUAUUUUGUGUUCAAAUCUUUAAAUAAAAAAAAUAGGCUCAGCUGUAUCUAUUUAUUUAUUAUAGUGUUUUUUUAUAACCCUAUAAAUUUUCUUUAAUUUAAUCAACUAUAAUUUUUUUGAUAAUCCUAUAAUCUUCCUAAAAGAGUGUUUUUUAAUAUAUUUUUUUCAAUAAAAAACGUUAAUAGCUUUCUUUCUUUCUUUUUUUCCUAAAUCAUGGUAUCUUUCUGGCUUGACCUAGCUUGGGUUUCUCAUAUAUGGUUUGAGAGUGCCUAGCCCAAAGCAUAAAGUGUAUUCAGUCUUACUUUGUUUUUUAUCCAUGUCUUGUAUAGAAAUACAUAAGAAAAACUCAUCAUAUCUUAUUCCUAAAAUUAAGGGAAUCCGAUACAAUAAGAGGUAUUGAAGAUAUCAUGAUACAUAAUUAUAGCAGGUUGUUACAAUCCUGGAUAUAUAUAUAUAUGGAGAUCAUGAACUUGAUGUUCGAUUCUUCUCGAUCGGUAGUCGAGCAACCAUAAAGGAUGGACCUUUUUCAGUCCAAUACCAACAUGAAGGAUACAUAACUCUUCAAGCACAAGUGUGCAACACAACAAGAUUAGGAACGAGAAAGGAUUAACCUAAAACAAAGGAAUAGGGAUAAGUAUACAGACUAGUCCAAUUCGUUUAAGGCCCCCAUUUUAAAUGGGAUAGAUAAGUUUAAUAUGCAAACUAAAUGAAUUUUUUUAAAUUUGUAUUUAGUCCACAAAAAUUCACGGAUAGAUAGAACGGUUUCUAAGACUCAAAUAUGAAUUUGAGAAAAAUAUUUAUCAUAAAAAAUAUUUUUAGAAAGUGAAAAAUGUAUAAAAGAAAGAAAAAAAUUGACUUCAUUUUUUAAACUAAAAUUUAUCCCACUAAAAUAUACCAUCAUUUUAAAUAUAACAAAUUAAUAAAAUGAUAACCUAAAAGAAAGAUCAAAAUUUUAUCAUAACAAAUUAACAAUAUUUACAAAUUAAACGUACACAGAUUAAACAGAUAAUCCACAAAUCUAUGGAUAAAGUCUGCUAGAUUCAUGAAGGUAGGUGAAUCUGAAUGUAUAUACCCAUCCCUAUAAAGAAAUUUUAAUUGGUAAAAUAGAUUUAGAUUUAUAAUUUCUAACUAGAUCUAUUUUUAGAAACAAGAUUAAUUGGUGUAAAGAAAGAUGAAAAUGAUAGGUAGGACUAAUAAUUUUUCUUGUUGUGUGUAAGAGACACGUGAGGAUGGAUGCAAAAGUCAGUUAACUUGUGCAUUUUUAUUUCUCUGUCAAAAUGAGGAUGAAUGCAAACGCCAAAGUAGUUUUGUGCAAUCUUUCCUCUGUCAAAAUAACUAAAUUUUGGCUUCGUUUUCAUGUGAGAGUAAGAGACAGGUUCCGGAUCCCCAGGCACGUCGUCACCAAGCUAGAUGUUACUUGACGCCAAGGGAGUUCUCAAGAUUCUUUUUUCUGUUGUUAACUAGCAGGCACAAGAAAACAAGUACUAGUAUGCAUAUUUUCACGUUAUUAUUCUAUACUACCAUUACCAUAAUUAAUUGUAUAGUUUAUAGCAAAUGGUAAUAUAUAUGCAUUUAUUUUGAGUAGCAUUAUUUUUCAAAUGAAAUUAUCCGUAAAAUGUACGUAUAAAAAGUAGUAAUGCUAAACUUACUAUUUAUUUUAUGUAAAAAAAAAGACUUUUAAGGGCUAUGCUUUCUCCCUUUGCAAUUCUUAAUAUGAUCAACAGUUAAUUUUUACUUUCAACUAUAUAUUGACUUUAAAACUUUAUAAGAUGUGUUGAUUUUAUUUAAUUUGGUUAACGCGAUUCCAACAAGAAUUUGAUGAAUUUAACAUCUCACAGUACUCCAUGAUGAAUUUAAUUUCCAUACUCUUAAGUUAGUUGUAACUCUAAAAUUCUUUGAGGAAAUUAACAGAAUUUUAUUUUUACCAUCAGCUACAUCUUUUAGUCUAGUAAUGAGUAGUGUUUGAUCUAAUAUAUGAUAUCAAAUUAAGUUCACGCAUUAAUCUAAACCUCUUGGGUGAAAUCUCAAAGCUUAUAAAAGAGAUAUUCGAAAUUAAGUACUAAUGAUGUUAAAAGUAAUAGAAAGAUAAAAAUUAAGAAUAUUUUUUUAUAAUUAUCCAUUAUUACUAAAAAAAUAUUUAUCAAAAUAUAAUAUAGUAUAUUUUCAAAAAAAAAAAUAUUAUGACCUCAAGUUCGCUAGUUCGCUAUUUAGUUAAGAUCACUCUAUUUGCAAAACUAUUUUGGUGUAUCAGAAAUAAUAGGUCUCUAAUGGAGACUAAGAGACUAGCUAGAGGGCCUACGAGUACCCGUGUGUUACAUUGUUAAGAUCAUUAAGUUUGAGGCAUUGUUUGGUUUAACUCUAGUUUUAGAGUCAGGAUUUGGGAGAAAGGUAUUUAUCAAUUAUUUUUGUUGGGAAAACUCGGACUUUUCCGCUUCGUGAAGUUAAGAUAGGCACUUAAUAAUUAAAGGUAGUAAUGAGAACAUACGAUUAUAAUUCUCCAAUAUGGAGAUUCUUCCACUAUACAAAGUGAUAGUAGGGUUACAAGGAUGUAUUUACAAAAUUGACUCACUCUAUGGUGGCUCACUCAAGCUUGAGGAUAGAGACUUCUCAAGCUAUUUAUCUUCUCUCUCAGAGAGACUCUCUCAUUGGAUUGAUAGGAAUGAAGGCUCCUACCCUUAUUUAUACUACUCUACCUCCACAAUGAAUGGUGGAGAUUACUUGUAUCAUAGGGUGGAGAUUAAUUCUCUAGAAUGUUGCACACAUUCUAUGAGUCUUUACACUCUUCUACUCUUUUCCAUAUCCUUCCAUAAGGUUCCACACAUCUCUAGAAUAUUCUAGAGGUUUCCACAUUCUUCCACAAGCUUCUAGAGAGUUCUACACUACUCUAGAGUUCUCUAGGACGUUCUAAAAAAUUCUAUACUUUUCCAGAAAGUUCUAGAAUUUUCUAGAACUUCUCCAAUUAAGAAGGGAUUCCAACAAUUUUAAUGUAUCAAACCGACAUGUAAUUUAAAUAUAAAAAGUAUAAUUUACCAUAAAUAUUAAUACAGUAAUAUUCCUUCUAUAAUAGAAUGGUUAUAUAUAUAUAUAUAUAUAUAUAUAUAUAUAUAUAUAUAUAUAAUCCGUUAUAAUUGUUAUAUUUUAUUGACUUAAAAUAUAUUUUUAAUUUUUUUGAAUGAAUUCAAUUUUCAAUUUGGUCUUUCAACAAACUUUGUUAGUCAUAGUUUCCAUAAAUUUUAAAUUAUUUCUUUUAUAUAACACAAAUUUUAACAUAUUUUAAAAUGGUUUAGUAUAACAUAUUAAUAAUACAACACAUGCAUCUAGAUUUAGCAUGGAUUUAGUAAAAGUUUUUUAAAAUUCAUAUUACUUUUUUUAAAAAUAAAACGUGCACAUAAAUUUAUCAUAUCAUUAACCGAUAAUUAUUAUAAAAUGACAUGUGAUAUAACAUGUUUUUUAGGAGACAGUAAAAAAUAUGUUUUUUUAGGAGACCGGUAUAUCUCCAUGGAGAAGCAAUGCUCAAGUUGAGUAUAAAUAUUAUGAUUUAUGAGUGAUAAUUUUUUUCUAAAGUAUUUAACACAUGGAUACACAAAGUUCAAAAAAUUUGAGGCCACUAAUUAAUUAAAACAAUCUUAUAUUAAUUAGAAAUCAUUAGAAAAAUUAUAAUUUAUAAAAGCUAGAAUUAAUUAAAUAAAUAAAAAUUAACCAUAUUUAUAAGAACUAAAAAUAUGUUUUACUCAUCUAAAACAUUAUGCUUUACUCUUUUAUUUUUAAUUUUUGUAUUGUAAAGAGACAGAAUAUUUAAAUUAUAAGGUUGAGAAAUCACAUUUUAAAGUACUUUUUUUAAGGCAUUUUAAAGUACUUAUUAUCUUGACGUAUACGCACAUAAGUAUAGUAUUGUACGAAUAGCCUGCACAAAGACAUUUUGGACCAGGGUCAAAUCUCCCAUUCUAUGUUAGAUUACCUAUAACAGAAAACACAUCCCAUCCAAUAAAGAUCUCCCAUUCUCUGUUAUCUUCUUGCAAAUAUUUUAACCAUGAAGUCAUCACUUUGUCCACAAUGGCAAUUUCUACGGUGAACCAGUGUACUAUGUGGUCCACCGGUGGGGGAGGCUUUUCUAGUUAUUGGAUCUAUUUUUUUAAAAAUGAGCGGUUCAGAUUGUCUUAAAUAUGAUGAAGUGAAUAGGGAAUGCACAAACGUUAAACAGUACAAAUGAACAGUACAAGCGAAUUCUUCCGUAAUCAGUGUAGAAUUGAUUUGACGAAUAUAACCCUCGAAUAUUUACAUAAUUUUAAAUGAACCAUGAAUCUGGUUUUUAGACUAAGAUUUGGGUCAUUUUUAAAUGACCGUAUUUAAAAAAUAAAAAUAGAGGGCAAAAAUAGACUGAUGGUCGAUGGUGAAGGUAACACUUAUGGGCUUGAUGGUGUGGUGACCUGGUUUAUUUUUAAUAUAAUAGAAACCUUAAUUUAAAAAGGUCUUGAAUUUAGGUAGUUAAAUAAAAUUUAAUAAUUUUGUUAGUGUGAAAAAUAUAAGGAAAAAUAAAUAAUUAAGAAAUGAAUAUAAAUAAAAUGUAAAAUAAUUUGACAAAAGAUUUAAAUUAAAAAUUAAAAAAAAAAUCCUAUAAUUAGUUAUAAUAUUCAUUUCCUGAAAUGUUAUAAGUACUAAAUUUUAUACCUGUGUCAUGUGUUGGAUAUUGUUUUGGUCAUUGUUGUGUAUAAUUCAAUAAAAUAUAUAUAAUUUUUAUUUUUUAAAUAUGUAUACAAAAUUAAAAAAUAAUCUCAUCCUAAUAAUUUAAUUGUUAGUGUAGUUUUAGUAAGUUGAUCUUUCUCAUGAGUUAAGAGUUAUUUUUUUUUUCUACUUGAUUUAAUAAAGUAUGUUCAUCCCAAGAGUUUUGAUUUUAAAUUUUUUUAUUAGGUUAAAAAAUACGAUAUUAUAAUAGUAAUAAAAAUAAUUUUAAAAUGUAAAAACAAUUUAAAUGCUUAAUAUAAAAGUUUCUUGCUGAAAUUUGUAAGAUAAUAUAUAAUUUUACAAUAAAUCAUGCAUGAAACAUAUUUUCAUAAGUUUCUCUACUUCAUUUGAUAAGAAAAUACUUAUCCAGAUAAAAUAUCAUAUUCAAUAAAUUAAUUAAGUCACCUGUUAGUAAGCAAGAUAAUUUUUAUUUAUAGGCACAAAGGUCCUUGAACUUCUGAUCACUCAUAUAGAUAAUUUUCAAAAUUACAGUUAUUCAAAAGGUGCUAGAUAAAUAUAUUUGAAAUCAUUUAUCAAAAUUGUGGGUUGUUAGUCUCUUGUCGGGUAUUUAUUUAUCUAUUGCCUAUCUAUAACAAUUAAAAGAAAGUCAAUUUUAAAAACCGUCAAAUCUUUUUUAUUUUCAAAUUUUAAUAAUUAAUAAUUAUCUAUAAUCUAUAACAGUUAAUGAUUAAAAAACAUCAAUUUUAAAAAUAGUGGAUUGUUAGUCCUUUUUAUUUUAUAUAAUCUAUAAUAAUUUAUUUAUCUAUAAUCUAUCAUAUAUAACAGUUAACAAUUAAAAAAUCAUUGGUUGUUAGUACUUUUUUUUUUUAAAAUAUAACAAUUAACAAUGAAAAAUAUAAAUAAAGGAAUUAACCACAUGGCAAAAGAAGAAUGAGACAAAUGACAAGUAAAUGAUAGACAAAUAAAAACUUUCUAAUAUUAACUCAGAAGUAAAAAAUGUAUAAUAUAUUGAUAUUAAUGUGAGGUUCAAAUGUGUUUUCAGCCUAAAGUGAGUGUGUCUCAAGCAUUAUGUAAACCUUAGGAAAACAAAAUAGAAAUAAAGUGAUAUUAAAGGUUUGUCAUAAUUUACUUUUUGAGUUAUCUUUUUUGCCUAUUUGUCAUGACAUAUUUUAUAUUAUAUGUUUCAACUAUAUGAAAUAAAAUUACUAUUAAAUUAUUAUUGACUAUUAUUGUCUUAAAAAUAUAAUUUAGUAAGCAAUAUAACUUAUGAACUUUAGUAGUUUCUUAAUAGAAUUUUUUGUAAAAAAAAUAUGAUUAACACAGGAAUUUUUAAUUAUAAAUUUCAUAGAGAUUAUGAGUGGCAUAUGAAAUUGAUUAUUAUAUUUGUAAUUUGUGUGUUUAAGAAAAUAUUUAAUAAAUCUGUGUGGAUAACAUAUAAAAAAACAAAAGUAAAAAUGACGUUAAAAAUAAAAAAGAAAAACAAAAUAAAGGAAAAAAUGCAAGAAAGAAUAAAAAAAGAACGGAAAGAGAAAAGAACUAAAGCAAAAAAGUAAAACACAAAAAAAAAACGUAAAAGAAUUUUAUUGGGCUAACCCAAGCCCAGUCCAAAAGUUUUUCCUUAAAAAAGAGAGUUUCAGGGGUAAAAUAGACUCUUAACACAUUAUAAUAAACUAUUCUCAUUUUUUUAUUAAUAAAAAUUAAAUAUAAUAUCAGAAAAUUUAUAACACUAACCUAUCUUCUCAAAUUAACUUAGCUAAUAAAUCUCCUUAUUUAUUCUCAGCUUUUGAAACAAUACUUUUUUAUACUAUUUAUAUGGUACACCGGUGGACAAUUUGAGGCAGGGGUCCAUGUAGAAUCGUCCUGUCCAACAUAUGAAAAUCUGAAAUAUCUUCAUCCUUUCUAUCAACUAAAAUUAAUUUCCUGCUAACCUAAUAUUUCCAUUCCGGUGGCACAUGUAUUGUUUUUUUUUUUUACUAAAGAAAAACUUGAUCUUGCAAAGUUUCAGUUUCACUAUAAGAGAUUUUUUUUUUCUCUGCUAGUAAUUUUCAUAUUUCUCACAUGAUUAAAAAUUUUCAUUAAUAAUCCAGUAAAAAAUAUUGAUAAAAGAUUUAACUCUUAUUCUAAAAAAAGUUGUGUUGAGUAUAGCUUGGGGUUUGCUGUCGGGCAUUUGUGUAAGUCCUCCUAUUAUUGUAUUUCGUUGGGCCUCGAACCUUUUUCAGGCUUGUUCUUUAUUUUCCGGAAAUUUAGAGGUAAAUAUGAGUUAGAUUAGAGGCAAUUACUUAGUGCAUCCCUUUUUUGCUUGGGGCUCCUCCAUGUUUUCUAAUAUAUAAUUUUUAUCCGUCUUCUUUCUCUCUCCCACCGGCCACCACCUCCUCCCUGAACCUUCACCAAGCCACCAUCACACUUGUACCCCACGCGACCAAACACAACAACAUCAUCAGCACAUCGCGCCAUCACCUCCUUACCCAAAUUGUCUUUCUGCGAGCACCACCAUUCACCUCCUCUUCCUUACCUAUUGCACUGCCACCUCCUAUCCUAGAUUCACACGCGCCACCCAACCACGCACCACAAUCAUCUCCACACCACCCAAAUUUGCGCAUGAAACCGCCACCACCUCCCUCCACCGGAUGUGCCCCUGCACACCCUAUACGUGCAUCGUGUGUCGCAACUUCACUCUGUCACCUUCUCCUAGCCACACACGAAACCUACUAAACAUACCAUCCCACCUCCACCCAAACACCUACCACCACCACCACAUGCAUUACUGUGAGCCACAACAUUGCUCCAAACACAACACCAUGUCACACCACCAUAAUACAGUUACAAAUUGAACAAUUCAUAGUGCAUUAUCCGUAAUACAAAUGCACUACGAAUUGAGAAAUUUGUAAUGCAUUUGUACUACUGAUUGCUCAAUCUGUAUUAGACACAAGCUUUUGCUUCAACAGUGCCACCAUCCUCGAAAAAUCAUCACCACGACUUGAUCGGAGCCACCACCGACCUAGUCGAGAUCCACACAAGUGCUGCUCACUAUGAAGGGGAAGAAUAUGUAGAGAAGAAGAGGGUGAGUGAGAUGAAAGGGGUAAGAUGGAGACUUUACAAAUUUUGGGGGUGUACCAACAAAAAAAUGAGAUCCAUUAAAUAAUUACCUAGAUUAGAUUGAGUUUGCUCACUUUGUAGGUGUCUAUUCAACACAACUUGAUUGAAAUUGAAUUGGGUCCGUCUUGUCAUUAAGUUAAAUAUUUAGAAACAUAAAACAAAAAAUAGAAAAUAAACAAAAUAUAAUAAAAUUAAAAUUAUAAAAAUUGAAUCUCAAAAGUUAGAUUUAGAGUAAAACAUGAAUAGAUUCAUUAAAUAUUAGGAUUCAUUAGACUUUUAAGUUUUUUUUUUUCAAAACAUGAUACAUAACACAAUUGUUUUAUGUUCGUAAUUUUUCAAACUAAUUGAACUCAUUAAUCUACUUUAAUUAUUUUUAUUGAUUUCAAUUUGGAUUUUGGUCGGUUGAAUCCACCCAACCCAUGAUCAGUAGUAUCUUUUAUAAAUAAAAAAUGGAAAUAAAACAUUCAUCUCACCAGUUUUAGCUUCUUGAAGUUACAAGUUCUAGCAUUCUACCGUUCAACAUGCUCGGGCUGGUUUAACUAUGCAAAGAAAAAUAGGGAACUUCGACGUUUGACGGUCUAAGAGAUUUUGGUUGUAAAACUCAAUAGUAAAUAUUUGCUAUUAAUAUCAGUUAUGCAGUCAAUUGUUUUUGGAUUAUGAUGUUCCUUUUUUACAUUUCUGCUUAGCUUGCUUGUUUAGAAGAGGUAAGGUAAUCCCAUUUUAGUGUCAUUUCUUCUUUCACUCCAGCUUAGGUCAAUUUGACCAAGUUACUUAUUUCUCUCUACUUUUUAUUUAUUUAUUUCCUUGCAUUGGGAGCCUAGCACAUUACUUUCACUUCAUGGGCUUUUACUUCCCGCACCCCAAAUUUUAAAAUAUUCCUAAAGUACCCUUCUCAUAUUAUAACUUCUUCUCCUCAACCUAUUUCUCCCCAAAUUUUUUGACCUAACACUUAAUAAAAAUGCUGCUAAAAAGCUUUUGACAACAUUUAAAAAAUAUUGUCAAAUAUAAAUAAAUAUUACUUUCAUGUGUAGUAGUGUCUCCUAAAUCACUUCACACCCCCUCCACCUACUCCAUAAAUGUUUGAGUGUCCUCUCUGUGACGGUGAUUUGUCUCCAUCUCCGUCUGAUGUAAUCAUACACCGCAAGGGCAUUGGAUAGAAGACUCCAAGUAGAUUGGGCCAAAGAUCCAAGGGAAGGCCCUAGGAUUCUCAUGAGCCUUAGGGUAGAUUUUGAGCCCAUGGGCAAAGUAUGAGCUUGCUUAUCUUUGUAAAUAUUAGAAUAGGUUUUUCCUUCGUUUGGGCCUUGUAUUUUGGCCAUUCUAGUAGUAUAGGGUUUUAGCCUUGUAUUUCGUGGCAUUUUGAGUAGUCUUUGUAGUAGGGAUUUUUUUUGUAUUUUCAUGUAUUUUGUCAUGGGGGUGAGCCUAGCUAUUAUAGGGGGUGUGUAGCUAAGCUCUAGCUUCUCAUCUCAAGGAGGUGAACUUAGCUAUUAGAGAGGUAUGUGUAACUAAGCUCUAGCUUCUUUAGAAAUCUUCUUAAGGAAGCUUCUCAAGGAGGUGAGUUUAGUUAUGAGAGGGGUGUGUGUAGCUAAGCUCUAACUUCUCAAGGAAGUUUUCUCAAAGAAACUUCUCAAGGAAGUUUUCUCAAGAAAGCUUCUCAAGGAAGCUACCUAGUCUAUAAAUAGAAGUAUGUGUAACACUUGUUGUAACUUUGAUGAAUGAGAGUCUUGUGAGACACAAUUCAAAGUUCAACUUCUCUCCCUUUUUCUUCCUUCAAUUUCGUGCUCCCCCCUCUCUCUUUCUCUCCCUCUUUCUUUUCCUCCAUUGAAGUAUCCUCUCCAAGCUUCCUAUCCAAGGCUCAUCUUGGUGGUGAAGCUCCUUCUUCCAUGGCUUAUUCCCUAGUGGAUGACGCCUCCUCUCACCUCUUCUCCUUUGUCUUCCACUGCAUCUCCAUGGUGGAAAAUCACCAUUAAAGGACCUCAUUGAAGUUCAAAGAUCCAGCCUCCAUAGAAGCCCCACAAGCAAGCUUCCAUCAAGUGGUAAUCAGAGCACAAGAGCUUCAAGUAGGUGCUCCUUAAACCUCCAUUAAUUUUUUGCUUUACCUUCUCUUCUAUUGUUGUUUCUUCAUUUUUCUCCAUGUAUCUCCUCACAUGUAUUGUGCUAAAUGUUUUUAACAUGAUUCUUUAGAGUUUCCACCGAUUAAACUUGCUAUAGAAGUUAGAUUUGAUUUUCUAUGGUUCAAAUUUCUUGUUCUUGUUCUUGAACCAUAAAUUGUGUUGAGUUUAGGUUCCUUUGAGUUUUGUCUUGUUAUUUUUUGUGGCUGAAACCUAAACCAUAAAAUUCUUACAAAAAUAUUAAAGUAUAAGAAAACCUCAAAAAUCUAGAGUGACUUGUUCACCUAUUGUAGUUUUGUCAUAGAAGUCAUGUCUAGUCAUGAAACUUGUCACAUAAGAUUUCUUAUGUUGUGCUGAAUUUUAUUUUCUUGUUUCUUUGUCUAGCUCAUUUGUUCAUGAGCGUAUGAAAUUUUUUUAGCCUAUUAUUUGAUUUGAGUCAAAUCUUUCAUGUUAAUUAGUCCUUAACAUGUUCAUGCAAAAUUCUUAGAGAGUCUUUGAUUGUGAACCUUUUCUUGAACUUUUAGGUUUCCUUAUGAUUGUGUCUAUUGUGAAUUUGAGUUUUGGUGAUUGAAUUGCUGGCUCAAAUGUUGAUCCUAAGUGAAUAUUGAACUCCUAAAACUGUGGUAAACAAUCCUAGUGAGUUCAACAUACAUAGGAAGGUUAAAAGUAAGCCCAAGGCAAUCAAUAUACCAUGCUUAAAAAACAAAUCGCUGGUGCUGGCAGCUUGGACAUACAAACUUGUAAAAAUUAUUGAGAAUUGGUUACUUCGAAUUUUGAGUUGAAAUUUUUAAUGAAUUUUCUAGACAUCUGGAAAAAAGUUAUACAAAAAGAACCAAGUGAUUUGGAUAAAAGGAAAAAUACUAAAAAUCACACAAGUUGGCAGAAAAAUCAGUAUCCAGGGAAAAAAAGUGAAAGGGAAGUGUGCUUGUUCUUUUGGCUCAAAAUUUAUUCUAUAAUUGGUGCCUAUGUUAUACCAAUCUUAGUUCCGAAAUUUUAAUUGAAAAUUACUGUGAAAACAAGUGUCAAAGCUAGAGGUUUGUUGACUCUUUUUUUAUAGUUUUUUUACUCUACUCUAGAGCCAUGCUAAGUUUCUCUUUGAGCCCUAGCUUGCUUCUAUGUCCUUUUCAUUGCUUUAAUUGUUGAAUAAUCCUUGAAAAACUGUCUUGUUAAAACUCCAUUGGUUUAGCUUUCAUUUCAUUUUUUUUGUCUUUCGUUAUUGCUUCUCUCUUUGUUUCCUUGUUUGUGAGUUGCCAUAUAGGGAAUUGGAAAGGAGGAUUGGUGCCAUCCCUUGAAGAAUUUGAGUCAAGAAGCAAGGGGCCAACCACCUUAAGAGCUAUUGGACUAAGAAGCACUCCAAAUUGAGUGAAUCACCAAAGAGAGAACAACCACCAAAAUUGAGGAGCAUUUUGUAAUUUUGUAAUUUGCAAUUUACUUACCUACAUUGCUUUCAAGUUUUGUAACAAAAAGGCAUUUCAUUGGAAGUGUGUUGGGAGCCUCCAAUAGGUUACCAAACUUCUAUUUGUGUGUAAUAAUUUUAGGCAAUUUUUCCUUAGGAUAGUGAGUGUUUUGUUGGAAACCUUGAAUGUGGUCAUCCAAACACUCUUAGGAUUCACCUAGUUUACAUUUCUUGCUUACUUUCAUAGCUUAUUUCCUUUACCUUCCAUUGUCAAAUCGCCUAGAUAGCUUUCCUUUUACCAAUUAGUUUUUUACCUUAUCUUUCACACCUCUUGUAGUGUUUAUCUUGGCUAGCUUCAACCAUAGUUUCUUUUACCUUUUGUUUUUAAACCUCCAACAAGAAAGAACCACAACUUAGGAACCAACAUGAGUCAUCAUUCAUCUAGUAUUAAUGGCAAGGGUACUAGUCAUAAAGACCCUUUAUCUAGAAUCUUAGAUGAGUUGAGUUCCCUUAAGUUAUGGAAAGAAAAAUAAGAGAGAAAAGAAAAAGGAAAAAAAAAGAGUUGAAGAAAUAAGUCAAGGUGAAAGAAAGAAAAUAAGAGAGGAAGAAAGAAGAAAAAUAAUGAAAGAAAUGAAAAGAGAAAAACAUGCCUCCUAUAGUAGUCAUAACUCUUGCAAGAGCCUAAGUGAAGAACUUUGUGACUAUUACGAAGGAAGGCAUAGGUCACAUCUUAGACCUCACUCCUAUAGGAGAGAAAAGGAAAGAAAGCCUCAAGAGGCUAACGUUAACCUCCCAUACUUUCAUGGGAAGGACAAUAUAGAGGCUAACUUAGAUUGGGAAAUAAGGGUAGAGCAACAACUUAAAAGGAAGUCUACUUCAAAAUCUUAUGGCUCUUACUCUUAUCUAAAGAAAGACCAAGGUCAAGGCAUCUUAGGGGUGACACCUUCUAAGCCCAAAGAUGAUAAGGGGAAGACAAUAGAAAAUCAACCCCUUAAGGAUAGUAUGCAAGAGAAAACUAGCUCCAUAAAGUGCUUUAAAUGUCUUGGAAGAGGGCACAUUACUUCUCAAUGCCCCACCAAGAAAACCAUGAUUAUGAGGGGCCAAGACAUUUAUAGUAGCCAAGAUGAGGCUACUACUUCACCUUCCUCUAGUAAAAGUGAAGAAGUAAAAGGGGAAUAAUCUAGUGAAGAAAUCUACCCCCAAGAAGAAGGACAACCUUUAAUGGUUAAGGAGGAGUGUAAGGAGGUAAGUGUCUCCUCCAAGAGGUUAGCUAAGAAGGAAAGUCAUUUUGAAAUAAAGACAAAUAUUAAAGAAACUUCCCCUCUUGGACAACCUCCACAUAUUCUCCUUUGUAAAAAGACACUUGUUAGCACUGUCACACCUCUUGGGCUUGAGGUUAUUCCUCAAGUAAAGGAGUUGUUGGAUGAGGGUUUGGUUCGUAAGAGCUUAAAUCCUUGUGCUUUGUUGGUGCCAAAAUAGGUAUUAUUAGGCACCAAAUCCCUAAAAUAAGUGAUAUGAUGAAUGUGUUGAGUGUUGAAAUCCUCUUUCGUAAAAUUAGUCAUGCACCCAACAUUUUCAUGAGUCAUGUACAUAGGGACUCAGUAGGUAGGUUUGUUCUUAUUUUUGGUUUUCAUACAAACUUAGGUGCUCAUAUGGGACACCUUAGGUUUGUCAUAUUUUUUUUGUAGGAAUAAUCAACAUGAAAAUAUAGAAAAAGGUACGCUUUAUUGCAUUACUUUCCUUAAUUUUUUAAAUAGUGAUCAAGGGGUUCCCACGGACCCUAAGAGAAUAUAGGUCAUUCCUGAAUGGCCUACUCCACUAAGUAUAAGGGAAAUCUGGGGCUACCAUGACUUAACAAACUUUUACAAAAGGUUUUUCCCAUAUUUUUCUAUACUUGUAGCACCACUCAUUGAGUUGGUGAGGAACCAUGUUCCCUCAUGGGAAGAUCUCCAUGAAAAGGUUUUUCAAACCUUACCCUACUCUAACAUACCCAACACCACUAAUACAUAUGUUUUUAUUCUUUUUAUAGGUGUCGAGGGAAAGAGCCUAGAGUAUGAAGAACCUCGGGAUUUGAGGUCAAAUCCUUUCCAAGGUGGAGGGGAUGAUGCAAUCCUACCCCCCAAGGGUAUUGGAUAGAAGACUCCAAAAGGAUUGGGCUAGAGCUACUAAAGAAGGCCAUAGGGUUCUCAUGAACCUUAGGAUAGAUUUUUUAGCCCAUGGGUCAAGGUUGGAUUCACACUUCUUUGUAAAUGUUAGAAUUGGUUUUUCCUUCUUUUGGGCCUUGUAUUUUGGCCAUUCUAGUAGUAUAGGGUUUUAGCCUUGUAUUUCAGGGCAUUUUGAGUAGUCUUUGUAAUAGGGACUUUUUUAUAUUUUCAUGUAUUUUGGCAUGGGGGUGAGCUUAGCUAUUAUAGGGGGUGUGUGUAGCUAAGCUCUAGCUUCUUUAGGAAUUUUCUCAAGGAAGCUUCUCAAGGAGGUGAGCUUAGUUAUUAGAGGGGUGUGUGUAACUAUGCUCUAGCUUCUCAAGGAUGUUUUCUCAAAGAAGUUUCUCAAGGAAGUUUUCUCAAUAAAGCUUCUCAAGGAAGCUACCUAGUCUAUAAAUAGAAGCAUGUGUAACACUUGUUGUAACUUUGAUGAAUGAGAGUCUUGUGAGACACAACUCAAAGUUCAACUUCUCUCCCUUUUUCUUCCUUCAAUUUCGUGCUCCCCCCUCUCUCUUUCUCUCACUCUUUUCCUCCAUUGAAGCAUCCUCUCCAAGCUUCUGAUCCAAGGCUCAUCUUGGUGGUGAAGGUCAUUCUUCCAUGACUUAUUCCCUGGUGGAUGACACCUCCUCUCACCUCUUCUCCUUUGUCUUCCACUGCAUCUCCAUGGUGGAAAAUCACCAUUAAAGGACCUCAUUGAAGCUCAAGAUCCAGCCUCUAUAGAAGCCUCACAAGCAAGCUUCCAUCACCGUCUAAUGCUUAAAUCUCUUCACAAACGUUGGUUGUUUUCCGCACAGCUUUGAUAAGGUUGGUUCGACAUAAAUACUUAUUUCUCUCUAUUUUAUUUUUAUUUUUUUCCUUGCUGAGCAUUGGGUGCCUAGAAUCAUUACUUUCACUUCAUUUAAUUUCAUUUAAUUUGGAUCAUGUUACCAUUUGAUUUAUUUACUGAUUGGGCCAAUUACAAUUGUUCCCUUUAUAUUCAAUUUAAAUUAGAUUUUGACCCGUGCUUUUCACAAGAUUAACAGUUCUAAAUUUUAUAAUUAAAUUUGUAUUGCAAAUAAUACAAUGUGUUAUAUUUUUAUCUUUAUAUUCUCAUAAAAAAUAUAAUUUCAUCAUAAUAAUUUAGAUAUUAAUGACAUCACGUAAAAUGUUAAUCUUCAUUAUAUGAAAAAGUAUACUUACUUUUAUGAAUAAAAAAACAUUCAAAUAAAAAAAAACUCAUUCACGUAAGAAGUUUUAACUUUGAUUGAACAAAAAUCUUAGUUAAAAAGUUUAUCCUUUGGAGUUCAAUGAAAAUUUUCCUACUUGUUUUUAUAAAAAGUUGUUUAUCCCGUGUGUUAUAUUUUAUAUGUUAAGUUAAGUUUAUUUUUUUUUCAUAUAUUCAUGAAAAAUAUUGAUCUCCGUUUGUUAUAUUUUUUUUUCAUAUUUUCUAAGAUGAUAAAAUAAAAUAUUUAAAUAAGGAAAGAGGUAGUAAUAAAAAAUACAUUCAAAUUAAACAUUACUAUACUAAAAUAUAAUUUCAUCAUAAUAAUAUAUAUAGAUUAAUUUGACUACAGGUAAGUUGUUCUUAUUUGUAAAUUAUGUGAAAUUUCUACUUGUAUUUUAUAAGAAGAAAAAUUUAAUCCCCAAGUGUUAUAAUUUAUAUAUAAUUUUUAUUUAAGAUAUUGGCAUAUACUUUUCAAUGCAUAAAAAAAAAUCCAAGUUAAAAUCUAAAUUUAUCUUCAUACUUUCAUGAAAAUCUUCAUUCCCAUUUGUUAUAUUUUUAUUCAUACAUUUUAUGUUUGUAACAAAAAGGCCUUUCAUUGGAAGUAAGUUGGGAGCCUCCAAUAGGUCACCCUACUUCCAUUUGUGUGUAAUAAUUUUAGGCAAUUUUCCCUUAGGAUUGUGAGUGUUUUGUUGGAAACCUUAAAUGUGGUCAUCCAAACACUCUUAGGAUUCGCCUAGUUUACAUUUCUUGCUUACUUUCAUAGCUUAUUUCCUUUACCUUCCAUUGUCAAACCCCCUAGAUAGCUUACCUUUUGCCAAUUAGUUUUUACCUUAUCUUUCACACCUCUUUUAGUGUUUAUUUUGGCUAGUUUCAACCGUAGUCUCUUUUACCUUUUGUUUUCAAACCCCCAACAAGAAAGAACCAUAACUUAGGAACCAACAUGAGUCUUCAUUCUUCAUCUAGUGUUAAUGGUGAGGGUUCUACUCUUAAGGACCCCUUGUAUAAGAUAUUAGAUGAGUUGAGAUCCCUUAAGUUGUGGAAAGAAAAACAAGAGAGAAAAGAAAAAGGUAAAAAAAGAGUGGAAGAAAUAAGUCAAGAUGAAAUAGACAAAAUAAGAGAGAAAGAAAGAAGAAAAAUAAUGAAAGAAAUGAAAAGAGAAAAACAUGCCUCAUAUAGUAGUCAUGACUCUUGCAAUUGUUUAAGUGAAGAACUUAGCGACUAUUAUAGAGGGUGCCAUAGUUCACAUACUAAACUGUUGGAUCAAGUGGCCUUAGAAUAAUUAAGAAGGGGGGGGGGUUGAAUUAAUUAUGAACGUGUCAUGACUAAUUAAAAAUUUAUCCUUCUUAAUAUUACUAGAUUCAAUUAGACUUUACUACUAAGUUAUGAGAAAGUAAAGAAAAAAAACAAUAACUUAGACAAAAGUAAAGUGAAAAUAAAAAGUACACAGUGGAAAGAUAAAGAGUGUAGGGAAGAAGAGGACAAACACAAUAUUUAUACUGGUUCGGCAACAACCCGUGCCUACAUCCAGUCUCCAAGCAACCACCGGCUCUUGAGAUUUCCAAUAACCUUGUAAAAUCUUUUACAAGCAAGGACCCACAAAGGAUGUACACUCCCUUGUUCUCUUUGAACAACCAAGUAGAUGUACACUCCACUUGAAUUGAUCCACAAGAGAUGUACCCUCUCUUGUUCUCAGUAUUACAACCCAAGUAGAUGUACGCUCUACUUGUACCACAAAGGAUGUACUCUCCAAUGUGUUAAGACAAAGAAUUCUUAGGCGGUUAGUCCCUUGAAUCUUUGUAAGGGGAAACAAAGUACAUCUUAGGUGGUUAGGCCUUUGAAAUCUUUUGUUUAAAGGGAAGAUGAAGAAUCAAAAGAAUUCUCAGGCGGUUAGUCCUUUGAAUCUUUUGGCAAGACGGAGAAGGAAGAAAAGAUAGCACACUUUUGUUUUCUGCAAAAUUUCCACUUGCAGAAAAACAAUGUUUUGAAAACAAAAUUUAGAAAGCUUUUCAAUGGGCAAUGGUUAAAGAAAGAUUGUGAAAAAGGAUUGUUUGGAAGAAUAUCACAUAUAUUGAAACGUGUGCCAAAGUCAUGCUUUUAUAGACUCUUCAUGUCUGGUCAAAGAAAUCAUUGGAAGAGUUAUGACUUUUGAGAAAACCAUGUUAAGAGUUAUAACUCUUAACUUUUUCUUCAAAACUAUUCACUGGUAAUCGAUUACCACAAUGGUGUAAUCGAUUACACAAUGUAUUUUAUGAAAAUCACUUGUAAUCGAUUACUAAUAUAGUGUAAUCGAUUACACUAUUUGAAAAUCAUUUUGGAACGUUACAAAUCAUUUGAAAACAUUUUGAAAACCAAACUGGUCAUUGGUAAUCGAUUACUGCCAACUGGUAAUCGAUUACCAGAGAGUAAUCACUCUGGUAACUUAGAAAAUUUGAGAAAAUUCUUUUGUAAAACAAAACUGUGCUAUUUGGUUUUUAAAAAAAUCUUUUAAUACUUAUCCUAUAUGAAGUCUUGACUUGUUGCUUCUCGAUUUCUUCUCUUGAAUCUUGAAUCUUGGAUUGGAUUCUUGAUGCUUGAUCUUGAAAUCUUGAAUCAAUCAUUUGGGCUUUUGGCAUCAUCAAAAUUGUUGUUCAUCAUCAUGAAGCUUGCUUCUACAUAAACAUCACUCCCAAAGAAGAGAAAAGGAUAGAAGGCCUCAAGAGGUUAACAUUAGCCUCCCAUAUUUCCAUGGAAAAGAUAAUGUUAAGGCCUACUUAGAUUGGGAAAUGAAGGUUGAACAACUCUUUGCUUGUCGUUAUAUUAGCGAAGAGAGAAAAAUUCCAUUGGCUACCCUUAGCUUUCAAGGGUAUGCCCUCUAUUGGUGGACUUCCCUUGUUAGGGAACAAAAGAUUCAUGGGGAUCCUCCAGUAGAGUAUUGGAAUAAUCUUAAGGGUGCCAUUAGGAAGAGGCACAUUCCCUCCUACUAUGAAAGGGAGCUUAUGGACAAGCUCCAAAGGCUUAGACAAGGGAGUAUGAGUGUUGAAGAAUAUAGACAACAAAUGGAACUACUCCUUUUAAGAGCUGGACUUAGGGAGGAGGAAAGAACAAGCAUAGCUAGGUUCCUUAGUGGGCUUAAUAUGGAAGUGAGGGACAAGGUUGAACUCUUUCCAUAUAGGAACCUAGAUGAGCUAGUCCAACUUUGUAUAAGAGUGGAGCAACAACUUAAAAGAAAGCCUUCUUCAAAAUCUUAUGGCUCUCACUCUUAUCCAAGGAAGGACCAAGCCCAUGGAAUUUUGGGGGCUGCACCUUCAAAACUCAAGGAAGAUAAGGGUAAGACCAUAGAGAAAUACACCCCUAAGACUAGUUCCCAAGAAAGGACUAGCAACAUUAAAUGCUUCAAAUGUCUUGGGAGAGGUCACAUUGCCUCUCAAUGCCCCACAAAGAAAACCAUGAUCAUGAGGGGUCAAGGCAUUUAUAGUAGUCAAGAGGAGACUACUUCUUGCCCUUCCUCUAGUAGAAGUGAAGAUGAUGUAAGGGGUGAAGAGUCUAGUGAGGAAGUCUACCCCCAUGAAGAAGGUGACCUCUUAAUGGUUAGAAGGCUCCUUGGAGGUCAAUCUUGUGAUCUAUCUCAAUCCCAAAGAGAGAACAUCUUUCAUACAAGAUGCAAAAUUUUAGAUAAAACUUGUUCUCUCAUUGUGGAUAGUGGAUCUUGUUGCAAUUAUUGUAGCACAAGAUUAGUUUCCAAGUUGAACCUCAUUAUCAUUCCCCACCCAAAACCUUAUAAACUUCAAUGGCUCAAUGAACAAGGGGAAAUGAUAGGUAACCAACAAGUGAAGGUACCUUUCUCCAUUGAGCCAUAUAAGGAUGAAGUUGAUUGUGAUAUAGUUCCCAUAGAGGCAGGACAUAUUCUUUUACGAAGGCCAUGACAAUUUGAUAGGAAGAUCAUUUACAAUGGCCUAACUAAUGAGGUUACCCUCACCCAUCUUGGCACUAAAUUUGUGUUGCAUACUCAAACACCUUCACAGGUGACCAAAGAUCAACUAACUAUGAAAGAUAAGAGGGAUGAGGAAGAAAAACUUGAAAACCAAAAGAAAAAGAAGGAUAGUAAGGCCUUGUCUACAAAGGCCAAGGGGAAGGAAAAAGAGGAAAAAGAUUCCUCCAAGAAGAUUGUUAAGAAGGAAAAUCAUUUUGCAACAAAAUGUGAUAUCAAAAGAGCACUCCUUCUUAAAAAAUCUUUCUACCUUCUCCUAUCAAGGGAAACAUCCUUUAGCAUCUCCAUACCACUUGAGCUUGAGGUUAUUCCUCAAGUAAAGGAGUUGUUGGAUGAGGGUUUGGUUCGUAAGAGCUUAAAUCCUUGUGCUUUAUUGGUGCCCAAAAUAGGUAUUAUGAGGCACCAAAUCCUUAUGAUAGGAGGUAUGAUGAAUGUGUUAAAUGGUGCAACCCUCUUUUGUAAAAUCACUCAUGCACCCAACAUCUUCAUGAUUUGUGUACAUAGGGACUCAUUAGGUAGGUUUGUUUUUAUUUUUUGUUUCAAUACAAACCUAGGUGCUCAUAUGGGACACCUUAGGUUUGUCGUAAUUUUUUUGUAGGAAUAAUAAACCUGAAAAUAAAGAAAAAGGUAUGUUUUAUUAUGUUACUUUCCUUAACUUUUUAAAUAGUGAUCAUGGGCUUCCCAUGAAUCCUUAGAGAAUAAAGGUCAAUGACUUAACAAACUUUUACAAAAGGUUUGUCCCAUAUUUUUCUAUACUUGUAGCACCACUCACGGAGUUGGUGAGGAACUAUGUUCUCUUAUGGGAAGAUGGCCAGGAAAGGGGUUUUCAGUCCUUACCCUACUCUAACAUACCCAACAUCACUAAUACAUAUGUUUUAAUUCUUUUUACAGGUUGUCGCAACCAACUCUUCGGCGGGAGGGCGACGCGUGACUCGCGGGUGCGUAUUCCAAGAAAGGAAUACGCGCGGAGUUGCCAUCAACGUUUAUUUAAGGAAAACGUCGAAAAAAUCGGAAAAGACGUGAUCUACAAACUUUAAGUGAAAGGUUUGGGAGUUGUAUUUUCGCACGAGGAAGGUAUUAGCACCCCACGUGUCCGUCACAAGAGACAACAACCUUUAAUCCAAUGUGCAAAUGUGACUUCAAUUUAUAUUAUUUUCCCUUUGUACGUUCUUAUGUCUUUUUAUGUCUUUUUAUGCCUUUUUAUGUUUUUAUCUUUUUGUGGUCGACAAGGGAUGUUUCCCUUUGCUCCUACAUAUUCCUCAAUUGUGAUGAGAAAAUCAGACCUACGUAGUUCUUUUGUGAACAAAGCGUUUUGGUUAAGUUAUUUUUUAUCCUUUUUUGAAAGAUAUGGUUUUAUUGAAUGAAAGGUCAUUUAAGGCGUUUGACCAUUAGACAAUCUUUCGAUUCUUUUGAAAAGUGAGAAAACAUUAAGACAUUGGACCAUUAAUGAUUUCUUUACUUUUGAAAAAGGUAACAAAGUUACAUAUUGAUUUUAGGUUUUUUAGAAAUCUACAUUUAACCAAUAAAAUCGGAAAAAACCAUUUCAAGGCAUUGGACCUUUAAAAAUGGCUUUUUAGGCGUUGACAAAAAGUUUGGUUUAUGAAUUGAUUUUAGCCUUAGUUUCACUUUGGUUAUUAGUCAAUUCAAUUAAGAAAGAAAAAUCUCAAAGAGGAACGUUCGAUUGAUUUUUUUGUUUUAUUUUACUAAAAUAUUUUUUUUUAUUAUUAUAUUAUUAUUUUACCUCUUUUUGGUUUCCAACGUGGUUACGGCAUGACCGAAUGGUCGGAUUUCAUUUUAACAGAAAUUAACGGAUAUUACAAUUCAAAUGAUCGGUGGAAAUUUAUUUUAUUUUUUGAUUAGGCGAGAAAAUGACUUAAGUAAAUGACUAAAGCACGUCAAAAGGGGGUACGGAAAGUAAAUGAAACGAAAAUAAAAGUACGCGAAACAAAUGUGGACCACUAAGGGUACAUAGAAUGAAUUUAAAAGUUCAAUUUCGGGAACUUACCGGUUGAAGACCGAAGAACGACGAAGAACGAAUGAAGAACGUCGAAGAACGGUUGAAAAUCUUCGCGAAAUCACCCACAUAAAUGUUACGGAAGUACCUCGGCUUGGAUUUUCUUCACGGAAACAAUUUUUUUCACUAAUUUCAAGUGAUCUCGAAAUACCAGGAGGGCUGAACAUUUUUCUCCUUCACUCCUCCCCUUAUUUAUAGGAAAAUAGGGGAGGAGCUUGCCACCCAGCUCGCUUAGGCGAGCUAGGUUGCUUCCUCCAGAAGCAACCGCCUUUUGGAGGAACAUCCUGGAAGGCCCAAGUGGGCCUUGUUGCUAUUUGCACCCCAUUUUUACUAAGUACACCCCCCUUGCCUUUUUUUGGUGAUUCUUUUUUCGUAAAGUUACGGAAACUUAUGAAUUUCGUAACGAUACUUGUUUUCUUUCCGUAAUGUUGCGGAACCUUACGGAUUACGUAAUCAUCCCUUUUUUGCCUUCCAGAAUGUUAUGGAAGUUUACGGAUUGCGCACUAAUACUUCCUUUUAAAUUCCGGCAUGUCUCAAAACUUCACGGAUUGUGCUACAACGCUUUUCUUUUGGCUUCCGACAUGUCUUGGAACUUCACAAAUUGCCUAACGAUGGGUGCCAAAUACCUUGAAGUGGUCAAACGAGGGUCACAUCCCAACAACGGAUGGUCCCCGGACGAAAUUAGGGUAUGACAGUUGCCCCUCUUUACUUGUCUUUUAUUGGAUAUAAAAGGGAAGUAAAGAUAAGACACUAAUUUCGUUCGAGCAAAACACCAUUCAGCCAGUGAACCUCCCUGCCAGUAGAACCUGCAAAAAUUUGAAAAUGAUCAGUACCGACACAUCAUCCUGAUACUAUCGAAUUUGUUCCUCUUGGUUGAUACAAGACGUAGAAUGACCAUAAUUUGUCUCUGCGUUUUGUUGGACACGAUCGAGCCUGGGCGGCGAGACGCAGAAUGACCAUAAUUUGUCACUGCGUGCCACCGGACACGAUCACUUCUGGAUGGCGGAAAGGUGUGCGGGAUGACCAUAAUUUUUCUCCGCCCACCUCUCAACUUGCUGUUCUUGAAUGACAAAGGGCGUAUAAUUUGUAUCUACGCGUUUAUCACCAAACUUGCUGUUUCUGAAUAUAAAGGGCGCAGAAUUCGUCUAUGCGCAUUUACCACCCAACUUGUUGUUCCUGAAUGAUAAAGGGCGCAUAAUUUGUCUCUGCGCGUUUACCACUCGACUUGCGAAAUCUGAAUGCCAUAGGGCGCAGAAUUUGUCUCUGCGCAUUUACCACUCGACUCACUGCUCUUGAAUGAUAAAGGGCGCAGAAUUCGUCUAUGCGCGUUUAUCCACUCAGCUUGCUGCUCUUGAAUGAUAAAGGGCGCAGAAUUCGUCUAUGCGCGUUUAUCACCCAACUUGCUGUUCCUAAAUGAUAAAGGGCGCAGAAUUCGUCUCUGCGUGUUUAUCACCCAAUUUGCGAAAUCUGAAUGGCAAAUGGCGCAGAAUUUGUCUAUGUGCGUUUACCACUCGACUCGCUGCUCUUGAUUGAUAAAGGGUGCAGAAUCUGUCUCUGCGCGUUUACCACCCAUUGAGCGUGCGGAUUACCGCAUGUCAUCGGGCCCGCCGCCUCUGGAUGACAAAAGGUGCAGAAGACGACGUUAGUCUCUACGUGCUAUCAUGCUUUGAGUCUUAGAGAUAGCAAAAAAAGGUUUAAACAGAUAACCACACGGGUAUCUCCGCAUGUCACGUGACUCCAGUGUCAGUAUGACAGAAAUUGUCUGCACGGAAGAUGACGUAAAUCUCUGCGUGUCAACGGGCUUGUUGGCCGCGAUUGACAAAGGGUGUAGAAGACGACAUUAGUCUCUGCAUGCUAUCAUGCUUUGAGUCUUAGAGAUAGCAAAAGAAAGUUUAAACGGAUAACCACUCGGGUAUCUCCGCAUGUCACGUGACUCCAGUGUUAGUAUGACAGAAAUUGUUUGCGUGGAAGAUGACGUAAAUCUUCGCGUGUCAACAGGCUUGUUGGCCGAGAUUGACAAGGGUGUAGAAGACGACGUUAGUCUCUGCGUGCUAUCAUGCUUUGAGUCUUAGAGAUAGCAAAAGAAAGUUUAAACGGAUAACCACUCGGGUAUCUCCGCAUGUCACGUGACUCCAGUGUUAGUAUGACAGAAAUUGUCUGCGCGGAAGAUGACGUAAAUCUCCGCGUGUCAACGGGCUUGUUGGCCGCGAUUGACAAAGGGUGCAGAAGACGAUGCUAGUCUUUGCGUGCUAUCAUGCUUUGAAUCUUAGAGAUAACAAAAGAAAGUUUAAACGGAUAACCACUCGGGUAUCUCCGCAUGUCACGUGACUCCAGGGUCAGUAUGACAGAAAUUGUGGGGCGGCCGACAAAAGCGAGGCUCUUGCUCCUAUGUAUCCUCAAUGAGGAACUCAGACCUACGUAGUUCUGGAUAACUUGUGAGACUAAAAAUAGUCUCAGUGUUUUCUUCACUAAAAUGAGAACAUGCUUCAGUAAAGAGAGAAAACUUCCAACUAAUCAGAGCAACAUAUGCUUUUUGGAUGAAAAACAAUGUGUCUACCGGGGAAGGGGAGUAUGCUGAUGAAAUCUUCUCAUAACCACAAAUGAGAUUUUGGAUGUUAGCAUUUCGUUUCUAAAUGACCAUUUAGAGGAAACACUGGGUUCACCAAAAAUAGAAGAAAAUCACUCAUAGUGUAUCAAUCUCACACGGGUAAGUGUUUCAUCCUAAUUCCGAACCAUAGAUAUGCCAUGACUUGAUUUUGCAAAUUAUUUCCUAUCAAAUCAAAGAUUACAUGUGUGAUCAUGGAUCAAUAGGAUUUUUUCUUGGGAAUGGUGUUUAUUUGGUGGGAACUUUGGCUUUGAGUGUUUUUGGCCUUUUCCUUUUCUGUUUUUGUUUAGUGCGGGGCGAAAAAGUCGCUGACACACAGGAUUUUGGUUGGCAAUCAAAGGGAGAGGACCACUUUAGGUCGUGGUUUCCUUUCUUUUCUUGUUUACUUGGUGACAAAUAUGUAUUGUUCAGAUAUUGUCUGGUCCUAAGACCUUUCUGCAUAUUUCUUCUUUUCUCUUCCGAUAUUUGAACGGGAAAUUUCUUUCUUCUUUUUUUGCUUUCUCCCAUUCUUUGAUUGGGAUUUUUUUCUUCUGAUCCUUUUGAUCGGGAAUUUUCUCCUUUUCUCCUUUUCUCGUCUUUUCUUUUUCUUUUUCUUUUGUUUUCUUUUGAGGGCAAGGUUUAUGGUGAGUUGGGACUUUGGCUCAAGGCUUGUAGAACGGAUGGACAUGAGAUAUGUCAGGGUGUUGGUCUGGUUCAGAGAUAAAAGGGAAUGUCCCACAUUAUUUCCAUGACACAAAUGCAACAAUGAUGAUUUGGAAAUUUUAUGCAAAACUAGUCAUGCAUGCACCUAUGUGGACACUCAAAUGUUGAAAAUUUUUUGGUCAUGUGAUGCUAGGGCUCAUAAUUCAUUUUCUCUAUUUUAGUCAACCCAGUGUUUCAAAAAUAUGUUCUUUUAUCAAUUUGUGCCUUCAUCCGAGUCUAUCUUGGGUGUUCGGAAAAACUUUCACAGCAGUUACCCUUCAAAUGUGUACACACAUUUGUUUCUAAAACUAGCUAUGAUCAGCGAAUUUUUCCUUCAAAUAAAAGUUGGAAAUUAUCUCUUUUCACGAGCAUGUUGUUUUUUAGCUAGACAACUUUUUAUUCUUAUUAUUUUUUUUUUCUUUUUUUAUCAUUUGUUUAUUUCUUUUUCUUGUUUGUUUUUCUCUCUUUUUCUCUCUGAAAAGGUCGUGCGGACGAGGGCACACACUACCUACUUACGUCUAACCACAAGGUGAACGAGAAACGCACGAAAAUGGUAAGUCGCAAAAUGGUGACGAAAUAACUGAGAGCCAUAACGCCGAAAAUUUCUAACAGAAACGAUUAAUAAUGAUAGUAAUGUUAGUAACCAUAUGAACAAAAAUAGAAAACAGUAAUGUCAAUAACAAUAUAGACAAUAACAGAAAAACGUCAAUAGCAAACUAAUCAAAAAAACAGUAAUGUCAAAAAAUGCGGUGACCUCGGUCACGUGGCUCCGCUUCCUCCCAAGAAGCCGAGCAAGUCUAUCAUCUCCUCAUCCAUGCGAGCGUCCUCUGCAUCGUCAGGAGCUCCUGCAGGCGCCUCCUCCGUCUGGUCCUCGAGCCAAUCUCCGGGCCAUGCGAUCUCAGCCCUAAACUGAUCUGGAGUAGGGCAUGCAAAAGGAGCAAAACCCUGGCCCUACUGACUUAGGUUGAGCUGGUAGAGACACUCAUGUAUCUGCACCUGCCCCCGGUGGUUGGCCGCCUGCUGGUGAACCAAGUGCCGUAAAUAACGCUCCGUGCCUAAUGACCCAGCCGAAUCAGCCUGAUGAGGUGGCGGCGGUGCGUCUGCAGCCUGUGGCGCAUCACCCUGCGCCUGCCUAGGCGUGCAAUACUUCUUAAUGAAGGCUCGGGAGAUCGGCGACCGGAUCACCUUACUAGGUUUGAUGGGAACCCCGAAUGACUAGCAGAGGCCUGUAAUCAACGCUGGAAACCCCAGGGCCCUGUUAGACUUAUCCGGGUCUAGAGGGUGCCUGGUGGGUGGCAUACCUGCAAAUAAAUAGAUGGCGUCAGCAAUCAACUAAGGAACAUGGAUGCUCAUCCGUGUCAAGAUGGCAUACACCAGCUAACACUUUGGCAGAGGAAGGUCGGAGUUAUGAUCACUGGGUAGGACAUUGCUGAGCAACAACAUCAUCCACAUCUGUGUCAAGGUGGUUAUACUGGUGCGCAUGAUCCGCACCUGCCUCCCUGUAGCGGUCCGGGCAAAAUCCUGACCUGAUAUACAUAAUAGUUGGGCAAUGGCCUCUUUGUCAAACCCGUCGGCCCUGUUCCUUCUCUGACUUAACUCGCACUCCUGGCCUUCCUCUAACACCAGCAGGUCACCUAGGAACUGGCUGAGGGCAUCUGCAUCAAAGGGAAUCCACUGACCCCUCACCCAUGAUCGCAUUUCCCGCACUCCCUCUUCUGUGGGCCAAGCAUUGGCAUAAAAUUCCAGGACUAUCUCUGGGUCAAACUUAGCCAUGGGGGUGACCAGCGACGUCCAACGCCGGUGAGCUAUCUCUUCCUAAAAGUCGGUGUACUCAUCGUCCCUGAGCUGGACGCGUCUCUCUCGGUGGAACGACCAUCCUUUGAUGGCCUCGAAAUGCUGCUGGAUCUCAGCGCUCCUGAAACGGUGGCUAUCAAACUCGGGGGCGGCACUGGUCCCUUCAGCCGCGGCGUCCCUCCUUGAUCUUUUCGCGGAAAGAUUUCUCAAAGCCAUUUCCUACGAGGGCAAACAUUUGGAAAGUUAGUUUACAAGGAAAUUCUAUUUUAAAGCAAAAAUGGCAUGCUAAUCCUUUCGAUUUAGAACAAAUUUGUGUCCACAUCUCCUUAAAGAAAAACAUUUACCAACGUGCAUACGCGCCAAGUAUCCUGCUAUUUAUCAAUAUACAAGGAUAUUCAAAACAUUCCAGUUACCACAUAUAUUUUUUUUUGAAAAGAAUUCAUAUAUGCAUGCUCAAGGUAUUGUGCCAAAAUUACAAAUGUCCAUAUUCAAAGUAUUUUGCUACCAAAAAUUACCUACGCACAUUUGAAGUAUUUUAUUAACAUAAUUUUUUUUUUGUUUCAUUCACAUUUAUUUAUACAUAUAUGCACAUUUGAGGGCCCAUCUCAUGUCACGCACACACUUGCAUUUGAAAAGGAAUUUUCAUGCCAUCUAUCUACACUUGAGAGGCAAUUCCACAUCAUAUAUUCAUUUCGGGAAGCAUUCAAACGUCCGUACAUUCAUAAAGCACUUGACCACCUAUUCAACAUAUACACGUGUUAUUUGAAGGGUCCUUUCUCUAACUACCUAUCCUAUACAUAUACGUACAUGGUGAAUAAUAUCUUUACACAAACUAAGCAAACAUCAUGGUGCAACCCCAAAAAUCAGCCGCUGGCCUAAAGGGAAACCCCUAUCAUAAUGCCCUCAUUUUUAUGCUUUCUUGUAUUGAAAUCAAAAGCUUGGGUUCCUAGGCCUAGAAUCGCAUUCGGGUACUCAUUUUAAAUCCUUCAUGCUGUUCCUAUACAUAUAAAACAGUCCCACAAUCCCAAGCUUACAAAACCAUGCCCAUAUGUCAUUGAGGCAUUUCACCGAGCACUUGGUGGGCACAUGUUUUGGCAUGAAUAGCAAGAGAAUGGGGGCAAUGUGGCAUGCCCCAUUACUCUAGAAUGAAACAUAGGCCUAAGGCCAUCCCUUACAACCCCUUAAUUUAGCGAAAACAAGCAUGGAUUCACAUGUGAAUUGCCUCACGAAUUUCAUAAAAAAUGAGCAACUAAAGCACUAAAACACAUCAAGGGAGAGCCAAAUAACCAGGGGAAAGUGCACUUACUUGUGGGGAGUGAAAUAAAGCGUGAAAAGGGAAGCAAAAACUCAACAAUGGAAGCUUGGGGGCUGCUGUCUUUGUAGUUCCCGUGAGCUUGGUGUUUUUGAAGUGAGGGGGGAGAGUUUUGGAUGGAGGAAAACUCCUCCUCCUUCGUUUUUUAUUUGCAUGUGCAGGGGUGCUCGCCCAGGUGAGCUAACCUGUUUUUUUUUUGGGGAAGAAAUAAGUAAGGCUUUCUAUAGGUCGGCGUUCGCUUACUCGAACCCCCCUUAGGGUAGAUUAGGCAUUCAAUAUUUACUUUAAAGACGCAAUAGUAAUAACUACCGGGAAUUCAAAGGAUAAGGCUGCCCUGCAGCGGCGCUUAACGUUUCUCCAAAGCUAGGCAAGGGAUGACGAUCUAUCGGUCGUGACCCUAGCCUCUGCUUGCGUCCGUCCCUAAGUACCUAAAAGUAGGAAACAACAUUGCACGACAAACUGUGGCCGUGUUACCGUUUUACCUUGAUUGGUUUCUGCCUUCAGCUUAGUCCCGGUAUCUGACCACGGCCUAAGACGAUUCUGCCCCUGUUAUGCAUGCGUAUGCGUAUGUAUGAAUGUUUUCGAAUGCAAUAAGCCGGUUAGGUUCAGUUUUAAUUAAGCGCUUUGGGGCAUUGUGUGGAUUGAGCGAAAAGGCUCAGGCUAUCAUAGACUGCACAUGGUUUAAAGCACAAAGUGAGGACUGAAGCCUCAAACUCAUGUUCUGUUCUUUUUAGAAGACUGUGACGAGAAACUUACAGCAGACAUGAAUCCCUGGGGGAAACCAAGAAGAACACACAAAAAUAAAAGAAUAUGCAGCGACAUCCUUAAUUGCCCCAGAUUCUAAGCAUAGUAUCGCUUGACAAUAUCAGAGUUCACAGGUAAAGGUAGCUCCUUGCCAUCCAUGUUGGUAAGCACUAGGGCCCCUCCGGAAAAAGUCCUUUUCACAACGAAAGGCCCUUUGUAGUUCGGGGCCCACUUCCCUCGAUUAUCUUUAACAGCGUGGGACAUCUUUUUCAGCACAAGGUCCCCCUCAUGGAACUUGCGCAAGCGUACCUUCUAGUCGAAUGCAUUCUUCAUUCUUUGUUGAUACAGGCGCCCAUGGCUCAUGGCCAUCAAGCGCUUACCUUCAAUAAGGUUGAGUUGGUCAUAGCGUGUUUGAGCCCACUCUGCUUCUUCUAAGCUCGAUUCUGCUAGUAUCCUACGGGAAUGGAUCUCUACUUCAAAUGGGAGUACCGCUUCCAUUCCAUAAACCAAGGAAUACGGCGUUGCCUUAGUAGAAGUUCGUACUGAAGUUCGGUAUCCAUGCAAGGCAAAAGGCAACAUCUCAUGCCAAUCUUUGUAUGACACUGUCAUAUUCUGAAUAAUUUUCUUAAUAUUCUUGUUGGCUGCUUCCACGGCUCCGUUCAUCUUUGGCCGGUAGGGCGUGGAGUUGUGAUGCUGGAUUUUGAAAUCCGCACACAUUUCCUGCAUCAUCUUGUUAUUUAGGUUGGUGCCAUUGUCAGUAAUGAUCUUCCUAGGGAGUCCGUACCGACAAAUUAGCUCCCUCUUUAUGAAUCUGACCACUACACUCCUCGUGACAUUGGUGUAGGAAGCCGCUUCGACCCAUUUGGUGAAAUAAUCUAUUGCCACGAGAAUGAAGCGAUGACCGUUCGAAGCCUUGGGUUCAAUGGCCCCUAUGACGUCUAUCCCCCACAUGGAAAAAGGCCAAGGGGAGGACAUGACGUUCAAAGGAUGUGGCAGAGCAUUGACAUUGUCCGCGAACACUUGACACUUGUGGUAUUUCCUUACAUGGACGCAGUAAUCACUUUCCAUGGUGAGCCAGUAAUAACCUGCUCUCAGGAUCUUUCUGGCCAUAGCAUGCGCAUUGGCGUGCGUUCCGAACGAACCCUCGUGGACCUCCUUGAUCAUGUGGUCUGCCUCUUUGGCAUCCACACAUCGCAGGAGAGUCAUGUCAUGGUUUCUUUUAUCUAGUAUGCUCCCGCUCAUGAAGAAACCGGCCGCCAAUCCCCUUAAUGUCCUUUUAUCGUUGUUAGAAGCCCCCUGUGGGUAUCCUUUCCUUUCAACGAACCGCUUGAUAUCGAAAUACCAAGGCUUACCAUCCCGUUCUUCUUCCACCAGACAACAAUGCGCGGGUCUGCCACGACACCAGAACUCAAUGUAUGGUAGGUCCCCGUGUGGUGUUAGCUGGAACAUGGAUGCCAGAGUAGCAAGCGCAUCCGCCAUUUGAUUUUCCUCCCGAGGAACGUGAUGGAAGGAGAUCUCAUCAAAGGAAUCAGUCAACUCCUUGAUAUAGGCUUUGUAGGGUAUCAACUUGGGGUCUCUAGUUUCCCAUUCCCCUCUCAGCUGGUGAAUCACUAGUGCUGAGUCCCCGUACACUUUGAGCAUUUUGACAUUUGAGUCAAUUGCCGCCUGGACGGCCAGGACACACGCUUCAUACUCAGCCAUAUUGUUGGUGCAGUCAAACCCCAGCCUGGCUGUGAAAGGUAUACAUUGAUUGUCUGGAGAGACCAAUACUGCUCCAAUGCCAUGGCCUAGAAUGUUUGACGCUCCAUCAAACCAUACAGUCCAUUUGUCCCGAUCUUCGUCUAGUUUUUCCUCAAACAAGGUCAUGAUGUCCUCAUCCGGGAACUCGGGAUGCAUGGGCUGAUAGUCGUUGAGAGGCUGCUGAGCCAAAUAUUCUGCUAAGGCGCUUCCUUUUAUCGCCUUUUGGGUGAUGUAAACUAUAUCAAACCCGGAUAGCAAGACUUUCCACCGGUGAUCCGUCCCGUGAGAACUGGCUUUUCAAAGAUGGACUUAACCGGGUCCAUCUUGGAUAUCAACCAGGUGGUAUGGCUCAGCAUGUAUUGUCUUAGGCGAUGGGACGCCCCGACUAAAGAACAACACGUUCUUUCGAGUAGGGAGUAAUUCAUUUCACAGGCCGUGAACUUCUUACUCAAGUAGUAGACAGCGCGCUCUUUCUUUCCGGACUCGUCAUGUUGCCCUAGCAUACAUCCCAUCGACUCGUCCAAAAUCGUCAUAUACAAGAUGAGAGGCCUUCCGGGUACCGGUGGCAUAAGCACAAGAGGAUUCAUGAGACACUUUUUGAUCCUCCCAAAUGCCUCUUGACAAUCCUCAUUCCAACGGACGGUUUGGUUUUUGCGUAAGAGUUUGAACAACGGCUCACAAAUAGCAGUGAGCUAUGAUAUGAAUCUGGCAAUAUAAUUCAAACAUCCCAGGAAACCUUGAACUUGCCUCUCGGUACGGGGUUCCGGCAUUUCAAGGAUGGCCUUCACCUUUUCGGGGUCCACCUCUAUCCCUUUAUGGCUUACAAUGAAACUUAGCAAUUUCCCUGAUUUGACCCCAAAAGUGCACUUAGCGGGGUUCGACCUCAAUUGAUACUUCCUAAGCCUUUCGAACAACUUCCGCAGGUUGACAAGGUGUUCCUCCUCGGUCUUAGAUUUGGCAAUUAUGUCGUCCACGUAGACCUCGAUCUCUUGGUGCAUCAUAUCGUGGAACAAAGCUACCAUAGCCCGUUGAUAAGUUGCCCCGACAUUCUUGAGUCCAAAGGACAUCACCUUGUAACAGAACGUUCCCCACAAGGUGACGAAGGUAGUCUUUUCCAUAUCCUCUGGCGCCAUCUUUAUCUGAUUGUAACCGGAGAACCCAUCCAUGAAGGAAAACAAAGCGAAAUUGGCCGUAUUAUCCAUGAGGAUAUCAAUGUGCGGCAAAGGAAAGUUGUCUUUGGGACUGGCCCGAUUCAGGUCCCGAUAAUCCACACACAUUCACACCUUCCCAUCCUUCUUAGGGACUGGUACGAUGUUGGCAACCCAUUUUGGGUACCAAGCGACAGCCAAAAACCCAACGUCAAAUUGUUUCUUUACCUCUUCUUUUAUUUUCAAGGAUGUCUCGGGCUUCAUCCUCCUCAGUUUCUGCUUUACCGGGGAACACUCGGGAUUUAGGGGUAAUCGGUGUUGUACAAUGUCAGAACUCAAACCGGGCAUAUCUUGGUACGACCAAGCAAAGAUGUCUUGGUAGUCUUUCAGCAGGGCUGUUAAUUCUUUACGGGUGGGUGCGGUCAUACUCGUGCCUAUCUUUACUUCACUUUUUCCACUGCCAGUUCCUAAGUCUACUAGUUCUGUCUCUUCAGAUGAGGCCCCGUUUCUUGUUCCUCAUGCGCGACUAUCCUUUCCAACUCCGGGGGAAGUCCCACAUCCUCAUGCUCUUCAUCCUCCGUCUGAUUUGUUUCUUGCUCGAAAUCGAUGGGUGGGUCCCAGGUAUCAGUACCUUCGAGGGACUCGUCGUCGGAUCUGGCAUUUUAAACGUAAAGAAAUAGACAUGCAAAUGGAUGAGAAUGGGUAGAGACGUGGGAACAGAUGAAGAAAGAUCUUUGUAUUAUAAAUUCAGGAACCAAAGACACAAAACCUUAACAAAAGGAAACUCUAAAUCCUAGGCCCAACUGUAGAGCUUUUAAAAGCCAUAAAAAGGUUUACAUUAUGCUUGUCGCGUAAAUGUCCGGGCGCUCCUCCACUUGCCAAUUUCCUAGUCGGAAAUCAGGAGGGCAUGGUCGUACCAAAUCCGACCCACUCGGAGCAUCAUCUUCGCAUAUUGCAACGACUUGGCCUUCGUCCCCUAGACCCGCGCUUAUAAAGCUCCUACUUAUGUGGCAGGGCGGGCCUCCUUCGUCUUCUUGUCUUAAUCGCAAGCCUUGACUUCCGCUUUUCCUUCCUGCAAUGCUUUUCCUUAUAUCUGCCUGUGUGGGUUUAUAGCCUAACCCAAACUUCCCACAGUUUCCUUUAGCGCUUAUCAGGCUGGUUAUGCCGCCGUUAUCCUUGCCUAAACCCAUUCCGGGCUCGUAACCAUUCCCCAACACCACUCGGGCCAUCAUUACUGCCGCAUCGGACAGGCAAGGUUGCCCAGAAAAGGAAUCUACAGAGGCAAUGCUAACCACCUCAAAAGACUGGAAGGCCGUUUCUAAUGACUCCUCCGCGGCUUCCACAUAUGGCAUAGAGGAUGGGCAACUCACCAAGAUGUCUUCCUCGCCCGAUACGAUAACCAAAUGCCCUUCCACUAUGAACUUCAAUUUUUGGUGGAGUGUAGAGGGAGCGACUCCCAACGAAUGGAUCCAUGGGCGCCCCAACAGGCAGCUGCAAGCGGGGUUAAUGUGCAUUAUUUGAAAGGUAACCUGACAGGUGUGAGGGCCUAUCUAUACCGGGAGGUCGAUCUCUCCCCUAACCUCUCGGCAGGUGUCGUCGAAGGCACGAACUACCAUGGAACUUGGCUUAAGAUGGGAAGCAUUAAACGGUAAUUUCUCCAAAGUGCUCUUGGGCAUUACAUUUAAACUGGAACCGUUAUUGAUAAGCACCUUGGCUACGACGUGGUCCAUGCACUUGACUGAUACAUGCAAAGCCCUGUUAUGCCCUCUCCCCUCGGCAGGGAUUUCUUCUUCGGCGAAGGCGAGAUAGUUGUUGGCAGUGAUAUUAUUGACGAGCCCUCCAAAGCCUUCUACAGAGAUAUCUUGGGCCACAUGGGCUUCGUUCAAAACCUUUACUAGCAAAGCCCGAUGACGCUCCGAGCUCAUGAGUAAUUCCAACAGCGAGACCCUGGUCGAGGUUUUGUUGAGCUGCUCAAUAACCUUGAACUUGCUCUGCUGAAUUAUGCGGAGAAACUCGCUGGCUUCCUCUAGUGACACCUCCUUCUGGCCAUAACCAUCCCUUUUCUCCGGAAGACCCUUCACCGAAAUAUCCUCAUUAGGAGUGAGGGGAAUUUUAUCAUCUUUUUCUUCCACUACCUUUGCCUUCCCCUUAACGUUCGUGGGUUGAAUUGGUAGGUCGGGGGGGUGCAAACACGCGACCACUGCGGGUCACACCGCUCAACACCGUGAUAUUGGUUACCUUGGCCGACAACGAACUGAUGUCAGUGGCUUCUUCUUCCCUUUUGUUCCGAGGUGUGUACCUCCAUGGGACUGCGUGGCUGUUUUGGUAUGGGAAAGGGACAGGUUUAGCUGCCGAGGGGUAUCAGGGCUUUUGUGAAGCUGCGCCCUUGGUGAAGUAUAUCACCAAAGGUUUAGGCCUUCCGAAACUUCUCUCAUCCGCGGACUACAUACAUAUAUGCUGCUCUUCCCUUCCCUCAUUGCCGACUUCCAGUCGACCUUGAUCUAUCAUCCUUUGCAAAAGGUCCUCCACUGCCAAACAUGUUUCCAUGUUAUGAAGCUCGCCGGGAUGCAACAUACAAGAAUCAUCUUCAUGCCCAUCGUGGGGAAUGACACCCCCUUUUGUAGGGCCUCAUAGAUAAACCUCCUAGGUGUCGCUACGUCCCUUAAAGGCUUAGACCUGUGUGGCCUAUCUGAAUCAAUGGCAUUAACCACUCCCCCUCCAUGAUUAGCGAGCGAGUUAGUUUUCACAUUGGGCUGAUCCUCUUGAAAUGUUAGCCAUCCGACGUCUAUCAAAUGCUAGACCUUGUAUUUAAGGGCCAGGCAUUUUUCAACUCACCGUGUGUGCAAAUAGUGUUGGUGUUUGUGUGCAUCAAAUGAAUAAAUAUUUACCUCAUGCAUACAUUUUAAAAUGUACUAAAAGCAUCAAAGAGUUAUAUAUACAAGAACAUAAGAAAAAUAAAGGGAAACCAACAAAGGAGAAAGUCAUGAUAGAACAUUGCACAAGAUUAAUUGGCCUAACUCUCUAAAACUAUUCCCCAGUGGAGUCACCAAUUGUCGCAACCUACCCUUCGGCGGGAGGGCAACGCGUGACUCGCGGGUGCGUGCUCCAAGAAAGGAAUACGCGCGGAAGUCGCCACCAACGUUUAUUUGAGGAAAACGUCAGAAAAACCGGAAAAGACGUGAUCUACGAACUUUAAGUGAUAGGUUCGUGAGUUGUAUUUACGCACGAGGAAGGUAUUAGCACCCCACGCGUCCGUCACAAGAGACGACAACCUUUAAUCCAAUGUGCAAAUGUGACUUCAAUUUAUAUUAUUUUCCCUUUUUACGUUCUUAUGUCUUUUUAUGCCUUUUUAUGUUUUUAUCUUUUUGUGGUCGACAAGGGGUGUUUCCCUUUGCUCCUACGUAUUCCUCAAUUGUGAUGAGAAAAUCAGACCUACGUAGUUCUUUUGUGAACAAAUCGUUUUGGUUAAGUUAUUUUUUAUCCUUUUUUGCAAGAUAUGUUUUUAUUGAAUGAAAGGUCAUUUAAGGCGUUGGACCAUUAGACAAUCUUUUGAUUCUUUUGAAAAGUGAGAAAACAUUAAGGCAUUGGACCAUUAAUGAUUUCUUUACUUUUGAAAGAGGUAACAAAGUUACAUAUUGAUUUUAGGCUUUUAGAAAUCUACAUUUAACCAAUAAAAGCGGAAAAGACCAUUUCAAGGCGUUGGACCUUUAAAAAUGGCUUUUUAGGCGUUGACAAAAACUUUGGUUUAUGAAUUGAUUUUAGCCUUAGUUUCACUUUGGUUAUUAGUCAAUUCAAUUAAGAACGAAAAAUCCCAAAGAGGAACGUCCGAUUGAUUUUUUUGUUUUAUUUUACUAAAAUAUAUUUUUUUGAUUAUUAUAUUAUUAUUUUACCUCUUUAUGGUUUCCAACGUGGUUACGACAUGACCGAACGGUCGGAUUUCAUUUUAAUAGAAAUUAACGGAUAUUACAAUUCAAAUGAUCGGUGGAAAUUUAUUUUAUUUUUUGAUUAAGCGAGAAAAUGACUUAAGUAAAUGACUAAAGUACGUCAAAAGGGGGUACGGAAAGUAAAUGAAACGAAUAUAAAAGUACGCAAAACAAAUGAGGACCACUAAGGGUACAUAGAAUGAAUUGAAAAGUUCGAUUUCGGGAACUUACCGGUUGAAGACCGAAGAACGACGAAGAACGUCAAAGAACGGUUGAAAAUCUUCGCGAAAUCACCCACCGAAACGUUACGGAAGCGCCUCGGCUUGGAUUUUCUUCAUGGAAACAAUUUUUUUCACUAAUUUCAAGUGAUCUCGAAAUACCACAAGGGCUGAACAUUUUUCUCCUUCACUCCUCCCCCUAUUUAUAGGAAAAUAGGGGAGGAGCUUGCCACCCAGUACGCCCAGGCGAGCUAGGUUGCUUCCUCCAGAAGCAACCGCCUUUUGGAGGAACAUCCUGGAAGGCCCAAGUAGCCUGGUUGCUAUUUGCACCCCAUUUUUACUCAGUACACCCCUUGCCUUUUUUUGGCGAUUCUUUUUUCGUAAAGUUACGAAAACUUACGAAUUUCGUAAUGAUACUUUUUUUCUUUCCGUAAUGUUGCGGAACCUUACGGAUUACGUAAUCAUCCCUUUUUUUCCUUCCGGAACGUUACGAAACUUUACGGAUUGCGCACUAACACUUCCUUUUAAUUUCCGGCAUGUCACGGAACUUCACGGAUUGUGCUACAAUGCUUUUCUUUUGGCUUCCGACAUGUCUCAGAACUUCACAAAUUGCCUAACGAUGGGUGCCAAAUACCUCGAAGUGGUCAAAUGAGGGUCGCAUCCCAACAACGGAUGGUCCCCGGACGAAAUUAGGGUAUGACACAGGUGUUGAGGAAAGAAUCCCUGAGUUUCAAGAACCUAUGGAUUUGAGGUCAAAUCCUUUUCAAGGGGGAGGGAAUGAUGCAAUCCUACUCUCCAAGGGCAUUGGAUAGAAGACUCCAACAUGAUUGGGGUAGAGAUGCAAGAGAAGGCCCUAGGGUUCUCAUGAGCCUUAGGGUAGAUUUCGGGCCCAUGGGUUAAGUAUGAGCCCACUUAUCUUUGUACAUAUUAGAUUAAGGUUUUAUUAUUUUUGGGCCCUGUAUGUAGGGCUCCAUAAUGUAGGGAGGGUACCCUAGAAAUGUAGAAUUUUUCAGCCCUUGUAUUUUAGGGCACCUAGACUAGUUUUUGUAUUAGGGGUAGUUUUGUAAUUUCACAUGCAUUAAGUGAAUAUUUGAUGUGUGUGUUGGAAAAUAAAUUUAAUUGAAUUGGGAGAAGCCCAAUCCAAUUAAAUUUUAGAGGGGGUGAGCAUUUGCUUGCUUCACCCCAUUGCCACAUCAUAUAGUCUUACUUUGUGCAUGUCCUUCAUGCUUUACAUGCCUCAUGACACCUAAGCACACUUAGUGGAGAAUCUUGGACUUGAUCUUGGAUUAGUGGGCUGAACCAUAACUAAAAUUCACUAAUCAUAAUUAGUGAAAUUUUGGCUUGAAAAUUUGGCUGCACAAAUUCAAUUUCAAAUCUAAGUGAAAUUUGAAUAGAAAUUCAAAUUUCCCUCGAAUUUUGUGUGACACUUAGGCUAUAAAUAGAGGUCAUGUGUGUGCAUUUUUUUUCAACUUUGAUGAUUUGAAAAUUAAACUUCAUAUUUCAGAGCUGUUUUAGAGCACAAAAUUUCGUGCUCUUCUCUUCCUCUUCCUUCAUUCAUCUCCUUCUUCCUCCAAGCUCUUAUCCAUGGCCUCCUAUGGUGGUGAGUUUCUUCUAGACUUAUCUUCUCCUUGAAGUGGUGUCUCCUCUCUCUCUUCCUUCUCCAUUCCGCUGCCAUUCAUCUUCCAAGAAGCAAAGGAAUCCAUUGAUGAAGAAGAUCUUAGUCCUACAAGCUCCAAUGGAGCUUACAUCACAACAUAUCAAGGCUCUGAUAAUCGAUUACCAGGCAGUGUAAUCGAUUACCAGAAGACAAGUUUGCAAAUUAGCUUCUUAAAAGGGUUUGAAAUUUGAAUUUUGAAUGUGUAAUAGAUUACCAUUGAUGUGUAAUCGAUUACCAGCAACAGAACUCUUGAAAUCCAAUUUGAAAAGUCAUGACCCUUCAAAAUAUAACUGUGUAAUCGAUUACUAGAAACCUGCAAUCGAUUACUAGUGAAAAAUUUCAGAAAAAGCUUUUUGAAAAGACACAUCUCUUCAAACCAUUUUGAAAAGGCACGAAGGGCCUAUAUAUGUGUGUGUGAAUUCAAAAAGCAAGAGAUAGACAUUCCAAGAGAACUUCAUUGUCAAAUGCUCUCUCAACAACUCUUGGGCAAACACUUGCAAAUCUAUUGAGAGUUCAUCCAGGAACUUCAAAUUGUAUUAUCCACUCUAAAGGAGAGAAAUCUUUCUGUUCUUCUCAGAAAGUCAAUUGUAAUCAAGAGACUGGUUGUCUCUUGAAUUGUGAGUUUCCUAAACACAAGGGAAAGGGAUUCCUUGGGUGUUCAAAAGUUGACAAAAGGAUUUUUACAAAGAUAGUGGAAAAUCUCAAGUGGGUUGCUUGAGGACUGGACGUAGGCACAGGAAGUGGCCGAACCAGUAUAAAUCGAGUUUUCAUUUCUCUCUUCCCUUAUCUCAUUUAUUUUAUUGCAAUCAAUUUUGUCUUGCAUGUUUUAAGAACAUUAUUAAAUUGAUUGCUGCUUGUUCUUCUGCAUUCAAGGCCUAUCAUUUAAAAAGGGGGUUAAAAGUUUGUUAGUGGGAAUUUUGAAACUUAAUUCACCCCUCCCCUCUUAAAUUAUUGAGACCACUUGUCCAACAUAUUAGACAUUACACAAUCAAUCAAAACAACUCAGACCUUGGCAGUGUAGUAAACUAUACAUUUGAAAUUUUAAGACAAGGAGAGAACACAGAUUAGGCACAUGUUAAUCAUGAUAAAAGAACUUUUGGCAGGUUGUGUUGUACACCCAAAUGUCUUGAGAAAAGAACACAAAUUAGGCAAACGUAAAAUCAUGAUAAAAGAAUCUACAUCAGAUUAGGCACACAUAUAAAUCAUUUUCACCACAAAAAUGUUGCAAAAUAAUUGGACUGGGAAAUAAAACUGCAUCAGAUUUGCAUAAAUAUAAAUUACAAUCAGAGGAAUAGGAAGAUUCAGCAACAGAACUGGCUCAAUAAUACCUCUAAAUCAAACUUCUAAUUUAAGAAAUCAUGAGUCAACUAAUAGAUGUGUAGCAUGAAAUUUAAGAAAAUUAUUUUCAAGACAUUCUAAUUUACCUUGAAAAUUGCACAAAAAAGGAAAAUUAGAAGUUAGUUGAUUCAAUGUUUUUUUGGUCUAGGAUCCCAAGUAUCUUCUACAAGAAACAAUCUUGUUCAUACUAGCAACAUCCCCAACAUUGUGGACCUAACUCUCCUAUCAAAGAUUUUAUCUAUAUGCAACUAGAAUCAAACAUAUACAACCAUAUUCAACCACUCACUUAUUGGAUGAAACUUAUUCCUCUUAUCACACUCAAAUUUAAAAUCAAUGGCUAUUAUUAGUUUAUUUAAAAAUAUGCUUCUAAAUAUACCAAUUUUUUUUAGAGUAGCCUUUGAUAAAUUGUCUAAAUAAUUUCACAAGAAAUAAAUAGAUUUCUAGGAACACAAAAUAUUAUAAAUAAGCUCGUAGGAACUCAAACAACACAUUUUGAUUUUACGUGUGCCUAAUCUGUGUUCUUUUGAUUUUGAUAAAAGAACUUUUGGCAGCUUGUGUUAAAACAAGACAUUUUCUAGGAACACAAAAUAUUACAAAUAAGCUCGUAGGAAGUCAGGCAAUAAUAUUAUCACAUUCCCUCAUGUGAAUGUAUGAAUACAUGAAUUUUGAUGAUGCCAAAGAAGAAUCAAACAAGGCCACUUCAAAGGAUAAGCAUUUGCUUCAAGAUUAAUUCAAGAUUUCUUCAACAAACAAAGCCUUGUUUCAAGAUUCACUAAAGAUCAAGCCUUGCCUCAAAAUAAAGGGUUUCAAAGUCAUGCAAGGCUUUGGUAAUCGAUUACCAGGAAGUGUAAUCGAUUACCAGAAGGGAAGAAUGAAAAAGAGUUGUUGAAAAGGGUUUUGAAUUUGAAUUUUGAACAUGUAAUCGAUUACCAUAUGUCUGUAAUCGAUUACUAGCAAUGAAACUCCUGAAAUUCAAAUUCAAAAGUCAUGACCCUUCGAAUUAUAACUGUGUAAUCGAUUACACAAACAUUGUAAUCGAUUACUAGUGGAGAGUUUUCAGAAAAUCUGCCAAUAGUCACAUCUUUUGAUUGGAUUUGUGAAUGGCCAUCAAAGGCCUAUAAAUAGGUGACUUGGGCACGAAUUUUGAAGAGAGAGUUUUGCUUGUUCAAAAUGUCUUAUCCUCUCAAAAGGAAAUGAGAGAGAUUCCAAGAGAACUUCAUUGCCAAAUGCUCUCUCAAAAGAAAUUCUUGGGCAAACACUUGCAAAUCCAUUAAGAGUUUCUCCAUCGACUUCAAUUGUAAUAUCCUUCUCUUCAAGAGAGAAUUCUUCUUUCUUGAUUAAGGGACUGAGGGUCUCUUAAAUUGUAAGGAUUCCUGAACACAAGGGAUGAGUUGUCCUUGUGUGGUUCAGACUUUGUAAACGGAUUUUUACAAAGGGAGUGGAAAAUCUCAAGUGGGUUGCUUGAGUACUGGACGUAGGCACAGACUUUGCCGAACCAGUAUAAAAACCGUGUUUGCAUUCUCUCUUCCCUUAUCUCAUUUAUUUUGUUGCAAUCAAUUUUUUCUUUCAUGUUUAUAGAACAUUAUUAAAUUGAUUGCUGCUUCUUUUGCAUUCUGAGCCUAUCUCUUUUAGAAAGGGAUUAAAAGUUUGUUAGUGGGAAAUUAAUUCACCCCUUCUUAAGAUUUCUGAGGCCACAUGUCCAACACCUCAUGUUUUACUACAAUUGCACUUUUGGCAGGUUGUGUUCUACACCCAAAUGUCCAUUUCCUCUUCAUUAUUCCUCAUUCAUACUUAUGUUACAUCAUUUCAUUGCGCUACGCACACGUCAUUUCUUCAAACCUAAGGCCCCUUAUUAAUUUUGUUGCUUCCACUUUUAUGUUUUUUUUUCAAACAACUACAAUCCAACUUGAAUUAUCGAGAAUGUCUUUGAAUAUCUGGGAAUGUUUUCUUUGGUUGUAGGUAGUAGGUUGAGACAAAAAGUUACGAAGUAAAUUCUUGUUUCACAAGCGUUGGAGUUGACUCUAGACUGUUGUGUUUGGUUUGCCAUUGCUCUGAUCGCACUCGUAGAUGUUGUUAUUGACCGUAUUUGUCAGGUAUGUAUUUGUUUGACUCACACCAAUGUUAAUUACAUGGUUAUUUAUAUAUGAAUUUUGUGUUAUAUAAGCAAUUAUGUGCAUUGUGAGUGAACCUUAGUUUCCCGUUUGAGAUUCUAUACAACGAUUAAUACGAAAAGUUUGCAUUAAUCAAUGUAUGGAAUCUUGAAUUGUUUGUUUGGACAGUUUGAGAAGACUCAUUUUUUAUAGUAGGUUAAUACGUAUAUGUUAAUUGUCUUUUCUUAAAUUUGUUAACAUUUCGGUAUACUUUAUUUCACUUUGUUUUCCGAGUGCAUAGUUGAAUGUGGUGGAUGAAGACAUGCCACCGCUUUCAUCUCGUGUACUUGGGGACAUAGGUGAAAUACUGCUAAAAUUUCAUGCAUGUUAGAUAACUUGAUAAAGUCUUACAGCAAAGGGAAAACAUGGAUUGAAGUUGGAGGCAAGCAUCACACAUCAGUGACGAGUAUGGGAAUGGAGUUGAACAAUUCCUCUAAUUUACUGAACUCAAUGCACCAUCUUUGCGUGAUAAAUUUUUCUGUCCAUGUGUGAAAUGUGGGAAUGGGAGACACCAGUCAAUAAAUGACAUAAGAUCACAUCUUAUAUGUCACGAGAUUAUUCCAAAUUACACAAAAUGGAUAUGGCAUGGGAAAUUUCCAGACAAGCCAUCAGUCUCUCAUACUAAGUCGGUUGAUGUAGACAUGGGAUAUCGUAUAGAAGACAUGAUUCACAAACUGGGCCAAGACGGAUUUCAACAAGCACAUGCACCUUUGUAUGAGAAAAUAGAAAAUGAUUCGAAGAUGCCUUUGUAUCCUGGGUGCACUGAUUUCAGAAGGUCGUCAGUGGUAUUACCUUUGGUCAACUUGAAGACACGAUUUGGUUGGAGUGACAAAAGCUUUACUGAAUUGCUUGUUCAAUUGAAAAAAUUUCUUCUUCAAGAUAACAUGUAGCACCCUGAUAUAUAUCUAUAUAUUAUUAGUAAUUAUGUUUGAUGUUUGAUUAUUUGUUGCGUUAUUUUUCCAUAAUUAUUUUCAAGGAGGUUAAUUUAGUUAAUAGAGGGGUGUGGGUAGAUAAGUAUCUAGCUUCUCAAAGAAGACUCUUGAGAAAGCUUCUCAAAGAAGCCACGAGGAAGCUUCUUGAGGAAGCCUCUUAAUGAAGCUUCUUGAGGAAGCUUCUUGAGGAAGCUACAUGAGCUGCCUCGGUAAAAAUGUCGCCCAGACUUCAUUAACCGUUGGAUCUUCUCGAAAUUUGGUCUGCAGCUUCACAAGGAACAUUUCCAUGAUCUGACCGUUGGGAUCUUUGAGAAGAUGUCUAAAGUGUGCUCGAAGCUUCCGUUCCCGAGAGCAUUUCUUAUUUAAGCAUUUCGGCCUUUGCUUUCGGGUAGCUUAGGAAAAAUGUCAUUUCUUCUCCUUUCUUUCUUCCAAAGCCAUUUCUAACGUCCCAAGCACUUUCUCCAUCACCCACAGCCACCAUUAGCCACCACAAACCAUCGUUGUUCUCCAUUGAAACCCCACACCGAGAGGAACCCUUCAACCGAAGCGGAAUCUUCCAACUUGGCUUGCGGUUUCGGUAGAGAACGAAACCCUAAUCUGACCUUUUGUUUUCUUUCGAGGUAACCAUGGUUCUACGCUUGUUUCUUGUUAGUUUCAUCUUGUCUUUGCAUCUUUUCUGACUUUGGAACCGCCAUUGCAUGUCUUAUGCUUCCUUUGAAAAACCUUAGAGACUUUGUAAACGCUAUCCUUUCAUGAAAUGCAUGUUAUUUUCGUAACCUACACUGAACCCCGGUCACAUUGGCAUGGUCGGAAUUUCCAAAUGAUGUUCCUUUGUAAAACCCGAAAUGCUCUCAGCUCUUUCAUGUAGUGAUGUGGGUGUUUGACCCAGAGCACUGUUACUAGCUUUGUUUUCUGAAAUCCAUACUAAGUCUCCUUCGUUUUGGCAUGGUAGAGACUUACAUGGAAUCGACGAGCAAGGACGAAAAGGAAUCUUCAAGUGACGUAACGAGGAAUCCGCGGGGUAGCUCAUGAUAGGUGAGGGGAUUUUAUUAUAAAAUUUACCGCCAUAGUUAGGGUCAGGGAAUCUAGCUAUGAGGAUAUCUGCCUGUCCCUAUUGCAUGCUGAUUUUUCUUCAAAGAAAAUUACAUUUUAAUUAAUGGGAUACGAUAUAAUUGUUAUUGACAUGCAUGCUAGUUUUUUUUCAGUAGAACCUAUGUUUUUGACGAACGGGAUGUGAUAUAUAUAUAUAUAUAUAUAUAUAUUGUGAUGAAUGAUAUUGUUGUGUUUGUUUGAUUUGUGUUGUUGAUGUCGCUAUUAAGUAUUUUAAUUGAUAUGUGAUGAUAAUGAUAAUUAUGAUGAUAUUGAUUUGAGAUGACAUUGUUAUUAAAGACCAUGUCAACAUAAAAUGUUAUUAUUGAUGAAUAUGUGAAUAUGAAAUGAGGUUGCUGUUGUUGUUGAUAACAUCAUUGAGAUGAGAUGAUAUUUAUGUUGUGAAUGACAUGGAAAUGGAAUGUUGAUUGAUGUUGGAAAUGCAUUGGAAUGUGCAUGUUGUGUAUGUUCGUGGGGGGCACUAUGCACUGACCUUCCAGGGUCUUUGGCACUAGCUUUUGGUCAUGUUCAUACGUUGGAUGUUGCGUAUGUUCGUGGAGGGCACUGUGCACUGACCUUCCAGGGUCUUUGGCACUAGCUUUAUGGAGUGUAUGUCAUGGGGGGUAGAGUGCACUGACCUUGUCGGAUGGCCCAGAUGUGGGUAACUAGCAUGGUUAGAGAAUCUAAGCAUUUAUGGGGGAACACCUUUGGGCUCCCAGGCUGAUCACCUAUGGGAGAGGGGCUGUUACGUUCACAACCGGGUGGUCUUGACAAACUCAGCACAGUUCCCUAAGUGAGAGUGUCGUGUGGACACGCUUAGGCUAUUUCCUAAGGUUUGGUUGUUGUUGGUAUGUACCACAUUGCAUAUGAGUGUUGAGUCAGGUGCAUGCAUCAUUCUGUGUAGUCUUGAUUGGGUCCAUGGAUGGAUGAUGAUUAAUCGUUGGAUGUGGAUGAUGAAUAAUUGUUGGAUAUGAGUGUUGAAUAAUGAAUGUUGUGUAUGCUCAUCAUGUUUGCCUAUGUUCCUUGCUAAUUGUGGUUAUUUGGUUUUGAUAUUGGUUCUUUUUAUAAUGAACUCACCCUUGCAAUUUUGUAUCGUGUGGUUGAUACCUGUGAUGAUUACGAACAUUGUUCGUGGGAGCAGAAUGACAGUGGUAGGGUGCAGAAAGUGAAAUUCUGGUGAGGAGCCGCUAAGCCGAUGUGAUGACGUUGACAUUAUUUUGGGAGGGAGUUGUGUUUUGUGAUCAACUCCUCCGUAGUUGGUUUUUAAGUUUUAUUUUGUUGAGUUAAAGAUGUAAAACUGAGAUUUUAGUUAUAUCUAUGAACAUAUUUAAUUUUCGUUAUGUGUAUGACAUGUACCGAAUUAUGGUUUCUAUAUAAUUAUGCAUAUUCACUUAAGUAAUAGCGUGUUGUUGGAUGAAUUUAUGUUGUGACAAAAUCACUUCUAUUUUCAUAAGCAAAAAUUAAGGGAGUUCUUUUUAUAAAAAUUGAAAUUAUCGAAUAUUAGAGUGUGGAUACCGUAGCGAUGAGGCGGGUCGUUACAUAACACGUUGCCGAAGAAUCAAUAUGAGGCAAAGAAGAUUUUAUGUCCAAUAGGAAUGGAGUACCAGAAAAUCCAUGCAUGUCCAAAUGAUUGCAUUUUGUAUAGAAAUCAGUUUGCAGAAAUACACAAUUGCCCUACAUGUGGUGUAUCACGCUACAAGGUCAACAAUGACGAAUGCAAUGACGAUGCAACCGCAAACAAGAGUCAUCCAACAAAGGUCUAUUGGUAUCUUCCAAUAAUACCAAGGUUUAAGCAAUUGUUUACUAAUGGACAUGAUGCAAAACACUUGAAGGCAUGCAAACGGGAGAAAAAGUGAUGGAUUGCUCCGACAUCCGGCUGAUAGUCCGCAAUGGAAGGAAUUUGAUUGUUUGUAUCCUGAUUUUGGGAAUGAGCCAAGAAAUCUAAGGCUUGGUCUUGCUUCAAAUGGAAUAAAUCCUUUUGGUAACUUAAGCACCAAUCACAGUUCAUGGCCUGUUUUGCUCAUGAUUUCAACCUCCCUCCUUGGUUGUGCAUGAAGAGAAAAUACAUAAUGCUUUGCAUGAUGAUAGCAGGUCCAAGAUAGCCAGGGAAUGAUAUUGACAUCUAUUUGGCUCCGUUGAUCGAAGACUUGACAAAAUUGUGGGAAGACGGGGUUGAUGUGUGGGAUGGUAAUCUGCAGCAGACGAUUAGGUUGCAUGCAAUGGUUUUCUGUACCAUUAAUGAAUAUCCAACAUAUGGAAAUUUAAGUGGUUAUAGUGUGAAAGGCCAUCACACAUGUCCUAUAUGUGAGAAAAAUACUAGCUUCUUCCAACUAAAACAUGGAAAGAAGAUAGUAUACACAAGGCACCGAAGAUUUCUCUAAUAGUAUCAUCCAUAUCGACAAUUGAAGGAAGCUUUUAAUAGAUCUCAGGAAAAUGAAAGUGCGCUGAAACCAUUAUAUGGCAAAGAAGUUUAUGAUUGCGUCAAGGACAUCAUAACUAUCUUUGGAAAGACACAAAAAAAUCUGCAACUGAGACAAACAUAUGGAAGAAAAGGUCCAUAUUCUUUGAUCUUCCAUACUGGUCUGAUCUUCAUGUUAGACAUUGUAUAGAUGACAUGCACGUGGAGAAAAAUGUUUGUGAUAGUUUAAUUGACACCCUUCUUAACAUUAAAGGCAAAACAUAGGAUGGUUUGAAGUGUCGUCAGGACUAGCAUCCAAUCUCACAAGGUUUGCGAACGUAUCUACCCCUAGCAUGUCACACAAUGUCAACAAACGAGAAAAGGAGUUUUUGUCAUUGUUUGCGUAUGCUAAAAGUCCCACAAGGAUACUCUUCAAAUAUCAAGAGCCUUGUGUCCAUCAAUGAUUUGAAAUUGGUUGGCUUGAAAUCUCAUGAUUGUCAUGUAUUAAUGCAACAACUAUUGCCUUUAGCGAUUCGGGGAAUCUUGCCUGACAAAGUUCGGGUUGCCAUAACACGUCUGUGCUUUGUUUUUAAUGCUAUCUGUAGCAAAGUCAUUGACCCUGCAAGAUUAGAUGAAUUGGAGAACGAGGAUGCCAUUAUCCUUUGUCAAAUGGAGAUGUAUUUUCCUCCAUCAUUUUUCAACAUAAUGGUUCAUUUAAUUGUUCAUCUAGUGCGGAAGAUCCGAAUGUGUGGUCCUGUUUUUUUUACGAUGGAUGUAUCCAAUUGAGCGUUACAUGAAAGUGUUAAAGGGGUAUACCAAGAAUCAACACCGACUGGAAGCUUCGAUUGUCGAAAGGUAUGUUGUUGAAGAGUGUAUCGAGUUUUACUCCCAGUACAUUGAAGGUGGUAAAUCCGUCGACCUUCUUGAAACUCGUCAUGGUCGGACACCGGGGGUAAAGGUACAUGAGGAUACAAUGUUGUGACAAUGACUUGGCACAAGGUCUCACAAGCGCAUCUAUAUGUAUUAAACAAUACAAUAGAGGUCAUUCCAUACAUAGAUGCUCAUAAAAAAAACUCACCGAAAUGAACCCAAAAAUAAACAUGAUGAGGAUUUUGCAAGAGCAUAAUAGAGCUUUCAUUAACUGGUUCAGAGAAACAAUAUUUGCUGAUGAUGGUACUUCCAAAACAUUAAGAUUGUUAACUGUUGGGCCAAAUCUGAAUGUACCGACUUGGAAAGGGUAUGAUAUCAACAAUUAUUCCUUCUACACUAAGUCCAAGUACGACAAAAGCUUAAUGCAGAAUAAUGGUGUGACUGUUGAUGCCGAAUCUAAUCACUUUUCUAGUGCAUCAGACUAACAAUCCAAUUCAAGCAUCCAUGCCUUACUUUGGAGUCAUUCAAGAAAUCUGGGAGCUUGAUUAUAGUGAAUUUAAAAUGGCUAUGUUUAAGUGUAAGUGGAUCAAUGGAAAUUUCGUUGUCUGUCAAGAUGAAUUUGGAUUUACCUUAGUAGACCAAAAUAAGGUGGCUUAUAUGGAUUUCAUUAUGGCCCAACAAGCAUGACAGGUGUUUUACGUCCAAGAUCCUUGCGAUUCAAGAUAUUCAGUGGUUCUACAUGGAAGACCAAGUGGUUUAAAUGACUCACAUGAUGAUUCCAUACUUGACAUUUGUGACACACCACCUUUUUCGACAAAAAUGCCUUCUAUCAAUGACUCACACUACAUUGAUGAUGUACACGCAAAUCGUAAUGAUCAUGAUGAAGGACUAUGGGAAAACAUUAUGACUUAAUUGAACUGUAUGAAAGUAAUGUAAAAAGCUCAUUCCUUUUCUGUUUUGUAAUUUAUUAAUGUUCAUAUUUCCAUUUACCUAAGUACAUGCUAUUUGUUCGUCAUUGUUGACAACAUAUUUGUUUUAUUUUGACAGGGUCAUGGGAACACCACCAACAUCCCCUCCGCAGUCAGAUGUGUAGUCAGAGGCCAUGUCUAGGAAUACUAGACAAUCCACAUGGCUAAGGAGGUUGACUUUAAGAACAUUGGAUCAGCCCAGACCAACUGUCAAUGUUGAUGUUGCAACUGGCCGAGGAUCGAGCCCACAUAAAGAGAAAUUCUAUAUCUAUCUAGGGGUCAUAGCUGGAGAAAAAAUUCCAAUUGUACAUAACACUUGGAAAGAUGUACCAGACUCGCUAAAGGACCUAGUAUGGGAUGACAUUUUGGUAAGUGACAUUAUGAUCAACUGGUAUUUUUUUAUAUGGUAAAAAAGUUGAAAUCUUUCAAAUUAUGCAUUUAUUUCUAAACAAUUUGUUUUGUAGGCGAAAUUUGAUAUCCCAGAAGCCCUGAAUGCAAAGAAAAAGGUGAUGUCCCAUGUGGCCACUAGAUGGAGGCAGUUUAAAUCAUCCCUCACCACUAAAUUUGUCUAUGCUAAUUCUGAGGGGCAACAUAAACAAGAUCCUUCAGUCAAAUAUGGCCUAGAUCCACAAACAUGGGAGGAAUUUGCGACAAGCCGCAAAACCCCUAACUGGCAGGUUAGAUGUACAUGUGAUUGAAUUUUAAUGUCUAUUUCUCAUUAUAAAGGAAAUUUAAUUUGUUUCAUUCGAAUACUAUAUGGUACACGACAGGGAAUCAGGAAGAAGAUGCAGGAAAUCCAAAAAUACAAUGACUGUCCCCAUUUACUUUCCCGUGGGGGAUAUGAUUUGCUUGAAAAGAAACUGUUAGAUGAGAAAAUAAAGAAAAAGGCAACAUGACGCAAUGAUGACAAAGAAUACACCACAAAUUGAGGACCCCCCCAUCUCCCAUUGAAAGACAUGUUAAGUGGAAGUUGGCACGCACUAAGUGAUAUGGGCAAAUGACAUCUCAGGCGGCACAAGAAAUAUCUAAUAAAAUUGUGAGUUGCUAGUUCAAUUUUAAUUACAAUAAUUUUAAUUUUGGAUUAAUUGGUUAUUUGUGUUUUACAUAUAAUUACUAUUACUUGUUAUUUUGUCAACAAUUAUACCUAAGUUGAAGGAUGUGAAUUUUGUGCUUCUUGUAGGACUCGUUGGAAGAACAAAUGACACAGGGUUCAUUUGUCCCCCAUGGUCAUGACGACAUACUUAACACGGCCAUAGGACGAUCAGAUCAUGGAGGUGGAGGUCGUGUUCAUGCAGCAGGGUCUGGGGUCAUAAUAAGUCAAUACUAUGAAAGGACAUCACGUGCCUCCAUCUCCAUCACCCAAGAACAGUUGUGAUGGAAGCUUGCUUGUGGAGCUUCUAUGGAGACUGGAUCUUUGAGCUUCAAUGAGGUCCUUUAAUGGUGAUUUUCCACCAUGGAGAUGCAGCGGAAGACAAAGGAGAAGAGGUAAGAGGCGGCGCCAUCCACUAGGGAAUAAGCCUUGGAAGAAGGAGCUUCACCACCAAGAUGAGCCUUGGAUAAGAAGCUUGGAGAGGAUGCUUCAAUGGAGGAAAAGAAAGAGGGAGAGAAAGAGAGAGGGGGGAGCACGAAAUUGAAGGAAGAAAAAGGGAGAGAAUUUGAACUUUGAGUUGUGUCUCUCAAGACUCUCAUUCAUCAAAGUUACAACAAGUGUUACACAUGCUUCUAUUUAUAGACUAGGUAGCUUCCUUGAGAAGCUUUCUUGAGAAAACUUCCUUAAGAAGCUUCUUUGAGAAAACUUCCUUGAGAAGCUAGAGCUUAGCUACACACACCCCUCUCAUAACUAAGCUCACCUCCUUGAGAAGCUUCCUUAAGAAGAUUCCUAAAGAAGCUAGAGCUUAGCUACACAUACCUCUCUAAUAGCUAAGCUCACCUCCUUGAGAUGAGAAGCUAGAACUUAGCUACACACCCCCUAUAAUAGCUAAGCUCACCCCCAUGACAAAAAACAUGAAAAUACAAAAAAAAAGUCCUUACUACAAAGACUACUCAAAAUGCCCCGAAAUACAAGGCUAAAACCCUAUAGUACUAGAAUGGCCAAAAUACAAGGCCCAAACGAAGGAAAAACCUAUUCUAAUAUUGACAAAGGUAAGCGGGCUCAUACUUAGCCCAUGGGCUUGAAAUAUACCCUAAGGCUCAUGAGAACCCUAGGGCCUUCCCUUGUAUCUCUAGCCCAAUCUACUUGGAGUCUUCUACCCAAUGCCCUUGCGAGAUAGGAUUGCAUCAAGUUGGUUGAAAUCAUAGGAAGCCUUAGGGAACAAGUCAGGAAUGAGAAUGAAGAAGAAAAGAAGCGAAGUCUAGAGACAUGGAAAAAGGAGUUGAAGGAUGCCAUCAUUAUUGAGAUGUCGCAAAGGGGAUCACAGUUCUCAGCACCUACUCAUGUGGAUAUAAAUGUGUUAAGUGCACGCGUGAGCACAAAAGGGAGCAAUGCUAAAACUGGUGUGAACCCAUCUAAGGAAGAACAUGUUGCUCAUGUCACACCGACUAUGGGGUUGUAUGUCCAACAUCAACAUUCUACAUAGCUGGUGUCCUUGGGAAAAAUAUAUGAUGGAGCCUCUACCAUACAUAGCAUGGUGUAUGCAGAUGGUGUCGUAAGGGUUAGGGUUGAAAAAGUUAUUGUCGGUGUAGCUGAAGUCCCAUUGUCGACAUACAAAAUUCAGUAUGUUAGGAAGGCCCUUAACACAUUCAUUGCAUGGCCAACACCUCUUGUAAACCUGGUAUCAGAUGAGGUACUCUCCUUUAUGUUUUCCAAAUUAAUACAUUCGUACAUGUAUAUAAAAAACUUUUUAACAUUAAUGUAAUUAUUAUUUGUUUGCAUCAUAUAGGAUUCAGUCAUUACUCCAAAUAAAGUCACUCAAGCUGUUGAAGGGGUCAAUGAUGUUGCUAUACAUGACCCCUUGCGUGAGUUGAUUAAGAGCCUGAUUGACAUUUAUGGCAAGUCUAUUCAGUUUGUGUGGGAUGUUAGUAAAUUUGGGAUUCCAAAUGUAGAUUCAUCCUUGUUCUUAACAUAUGUUGAUGUCAACAAAAUAACAUCAGGCGACAAAUGUUUGAACAUAGCUAUACUUUAGUUGUGGACCAUGUAAGUAAAAUUCAUUUGUGACUAUUAAAUCCAUAUUGGUUUGCUAUAUAUAUGAUGUUAACUUAUUUUUCCAAAUGUGCAAAUUAGGUAUAUCGAUGAGUGGAGUAAUAGCUUGGGUCAUGUACCGAUGUAUGGAUUCCUUGAGCCUCAAUCCAUACACAAUGCAAAGGACAGACGUGGGCAAUGUUAAGACUAUAUUGAAAAAUGGCUUAAGGAAUCGCACCGACAGGUGUACUUAGGAGCUUAUUUGAAACUGUAAGUAAAAUAUAUUUAGGCUAUGUUGUAAAGAAUGUUUGUGUUAGUCAUACAUAACUGUUGUGUUAAUUGCAGGGCCCAUUGGCAGCUGGUUGUUUUGCGUCUUACAAACAAUGUGGUGGUGUGGUUUUGUUCGUUGCAUAAAAGGUCUGAUGUUAAUAUAAAAACUGCAAUUAACAAGUUAAGUAAUAUAUUUUAAUUCGUUCAAUGUAUUUUAAACAUGGAUACAUAAAUUGUGAGCAUUAUAUUUAUAUGAUAUUAAUCUUUCAAUGCAAUGCAUUUAAGACAUUAAAGACGACUUUUGACGGCAAAGUUGAUCAAACUACACCCUAGUGGAUGGAAGUGAAGGUUAGUCCAAUGUCAAACAAUGUUUGCAAAUGAUAAUGUUAUUAAACAUUUAAAUACAAACAUUGAAUUAUUUUUCCCAUUGAAUGUAGAAUCACUUUCAAAGCAGAGGCUAUGAGUAUAGGUAUUAUGUCAUGCAUUGGAUGUGAAACAUAAUCGGUGGGGAGUUGAAGAAUGAUUGGACUCGGGUAAAUUUUCUAUUCCCAAAAGAUUGACAGGAAAUGGUGAUAUUUUAUUUUAUUUAAACGGAAAUCAUUAAUUGUUUGUUUUUUAACAAUGUGUAGUGGUUCAGUGAUGGCACGCCACUGACACGCAGAUAACGACAACAUUACGUCAAAAUUGGGCAGCAUAUUUUUUAAAACUUAGAACCAUCCAAUGUAGAAAGCUUUAAUUAUAUGAGAUGCGGACAUCCACUUUCGUGUUUUUCAGGUAUUUGUUUAAUUGUUAUAAACAGUUUUGCUGUUGUAAUGAUUAUUAUAUGCUAAUAAAAAUAGAUAUUUGUUCAUUUCAUUUUGGUAUGCAACAAAAGACUUGAGAAUACGCGUUGUAUUUGCAAUCAGUAUUUUUGUGAGUAGGAUAUGUGUUUUUUGUGGAACAGGGGCCCAUCUUUGCAAGUGUUUGGAAACAUGCGGUGUGGAGCAGGAGGCAACAAUAGAGGACAAUGAGAUUGAUGGGUAUAUUUGUUAUAUCCAAAGUUUGAAGCUUUUUUUAAUGAGUGGGUGUCAUCUAAAAUUUGGUAUACACUUGUAGGGAUUGUUCUCAUCUGGUCCUGAAGUGGUUAGGCAGACAUUGGCACAUGGGAACAAGCAUAGGCACGAACAUGGUGGACAUCACCAUGGAAUUGAUCGACAUGGAGCAUCCUAUCCUUGCUUUGAAUAUGACAAUUGUGUCAAUGUUAGUUCACAAAGGGUACUACUAUUACUUAAUAUUUUCUUGUAUGGGCUGAUCCAAAAAUAUUAAUAAUUUACUUGUACUGGGCUAAGGAGGUCCUAGUAUUGCUGAUGCCUAUUCUAGUCACCUAUGUCCAAUGUCACUGUUGUAAAUAUGCUGACUUUGACUAAAAAAAAAAAUAACUACUCUUGUGUUUAUUGUCUACAGAGCACAAGCUUUCACUUCGGAUACUUGAUCCAUUUAUGUCUUGGGUCUUUGAUGCAAUUCUACCCCGCAAGGGCAUUGGAUAGAAGACUCCAAGAAGAUUGGGUCAGAGAUGCAAGAGAAGGCCCUAGGGUUCUCAUGAGCCUUAGGGUAGAUUUCGGGCCCAUGGGCUAAGUAUGAGCCUGCUUAUCUUUGUACAUAUUAUAUUAAGGUUUCAUUAUUUUUUGGCCAUGUAUUUAGGGCUCCAUAAUAUAGAUAAGAUACCCUAGAAAUGUAGGAUUUUUCAGCCCUUGUAUUUUAGGGCACCUCAACUAGAUUUUGUAUUAGGGGUAGUUUUUUAAUUUCACAUGCAUUAAGUGAUUAUUUGAUGUGUGUGGUUGGAAAUAAAUUUAAUUGAAUUGGGAGAAGUCCAAUCCAAUUAAAUUUUAGAGGGGGAGGUGAGCAUUUGCUUGCUACACCCCAUUGCCACAUCAUAUAGUCACACUUUGUGCAUGUCCUUCAUGCUUUACAUGCCUCAUGGCACCUAAGAACACUUAGUGGAGAAUCUUGGACUUGAUCUUGGAUUAGUGGGCUGAACCAUAGCUAAAAUUCACUAAUCAUAAUUAGUGAAAUUUUGGCUCCAAAAUUUGGCUCCACAAAUUCAAUUUCAAGUUCAAGUGAAAUUUGAAUAGAAAUUCAAAUUUCCCUCCAAUUUUGUGUGACACAAAUUUCAUUUGAGAAUAGAGGCCAUAUGUGUGCAUUUUUUCAACUUUGAUCAUUUGAGAAUUACACUUCAAAGUUCAUACCUCUUUUGAGGCACAAAUUUCGUGUUCCUUCUCUCCUUCUCCCUCCAUUCUUCUUCUCCUACCUUCAAGCUCUUAUCCAUGGCUUCCUAUGGUGGUGAGCUUCUUCUUGACUCAUCUUCUCUUUGAAGUGGCAUCUCCAAUCAUCUUUCUUCCUUCUCCAUUCUGCUUCCAAGAUCUUCAAGAAGCAAAGGACUCCAAAGAUGAAGAAGAUCCAAGGCCUACAAGCUCCAAUGGAGCUACAUCAUGUUGUAUCAAGAGCAUCUUCAUCUAGGUGAUAUUCUUUUGCUUCCUCUAUCUUUUUGUUCGGCCAAUUCACUUUAAUUCCUUGUUCUUCAUCUUAUUCUCCAUGUAUAUCCUCCAUUGUCUUGUGGUUUGGUUCGGUUUGGAGUAGAUUCAAAAAAAUAAACCGAUUAAAUCUUAGAUCUACACUUGUUCUUGCAUUUCUAUGGUUCAAAUUUUAUAGAUCUACUCUUGAAUUAUGUUUUUGUGUUGAUUUUAGGUUCUAUCAUUUUUCAGUCAUAAUCUUCUUGUGAUGAACCUUUAGAUCUAAAUUUUCUUCCAAAAUAUUGAUUAGAAAAAAAAACACAAAAAUCUAAGUGUUAAUUAGUUAAUCCUUGUUGUUUUAGAGUCAUGUUUAGUCAUAAUAAUUGUCACAUUAUGUUCUAUGUUUGUGUUAAAUUUUUAUUUUGUUGAUUGAAUUCUAGAUACAUUUGUUCAAGUAUUCUUGUCAUUCUUAGCCUAUAUUUUGAAUUUUGAGUCUAAUAGAUGCAUGUAAUUUAGUUCAUAACAUGUUCUAAAUCAAUUCCUAGAAGUAAUCUUGUUGUUGAACCUUUUUUUUUUGUUUUUAAGUUUCCUACAUGAUGCCUAUGAUGAAGUUGAGUUGUGGUGCUGAGUUGUGGCUGGAUUUGUGAAUCAAAAUAAGUCUUAAGCUCUCUUGAAUUGUUUUAUUCAAGAUAAUUGAGCAUAAGCAAACACAAAUUGUAACUAUCCAAGCCUUAAGCAACAUAAACACUACUCUUGAUUUCUAGGUUGAAAUCGCUGGUGCUGGCAGCUAGAACAUACGUAUUUGUAAAAAUUACUAGGAAUUGGUCACUGCGAAUUUUGAGUUGAAAAUUUUACUGAAAUUUCUAGACAUCUGGAAAAAAUUAUAAAAAAGAACCAAGUGAUUUGGAUAAAAAUAAAAAAUAAUAAAAAUCACACAAGUUGGAAGAAAAAUCAGUGUCCAGGAAAAAAAGUGUAAGGGAAGUGUGCUUGUUGUUUUGGCUUGAAAUUUGUUCUAUAAUUGGUGACUAUUUUAUACAAAUCCUAGUUCUGAAAUUUCAAUUGAAAAUUAUUGUGAAAACAAGUGCCAAAACUAGAGGUUUCUUGAGCCUUUUUUUAUUUUAGUUUUUCUACUCUACUCUAGGGCCAUUCUAGGUUUGUCUUUGAGUCCUAGUUUGCUUUUGUGUGCUUUUCAUUGCAUUAAUUGUUGAAUAAUCCUUGAAAAUUUGUCUUGUUAAAACUCUUUUGGUUUAGCUUUCAUUUCAUUUUUUUGGUCUUUGGUUAUUACUUGUCUCUUUGUUUCCUUGUUUGUGAGUUGCCAUAUAGGGAAUUGGAAAGGAGGAUUGGUGCCAUCCCUUGAAGAAUUUGAGUCAAGAAGCAAGGGGCCAGCCACCUUAAGAGCUAUUGGACUAAGAAGCACUCCAAAUUGAAUGAAUCACCAAAGAGAGAACAACCACCAAAAUUAAGGACCUUUUUGUAAUUUUUUUAAUUGAGAAUUACUUACCUUCAUUGCUUUCAAAUUUUGUAACAAAAAGGCCUUUCAUUGGAAGUAAGUUGGGAGCCUCCAAUAGGUCACCCUACUUCCAUUUGUGUGUAAUAAUUUUAGGCAAUUUUUCCUUAUGAUAGUGAGUGUUUUGUUGGGAACCUUAAAUGAGGUCAUCCAAACACUCUUAGGAUCCGCCUAGUUUACAUUUCUUUCACUUAAAUUUCUUGCUUACUUUCAUAGUUUAUUUUCUUUACUAGCCACACCUAGUUUAUCUUGUUAUUGCAUAGUACUCUCUUCUUUCUUAUCAUGCUUAUCUUGAGUUCUUUUGGAACCUUAGCUUUUACCUUUUUUACAAACCCCCAACAAGAAAGAAGCAUAACUUAGGAACCAACAUGAGUCAUCAUUCAUCUAGUGUUAAUGGCAAGGGUACUAGUCAUAAGGACCCUCUAUUUAGAAUCUUAGAUGAGUUGAGUUCCCUCAAGUUAUGAAAAGAAAAAAUAGAAAGAAAAGAAAAAGGAAAAGAGAGGGUAAAAACAAAUCAAGAUGAGAGGGAACAAAUAAGGGAAGAAGAAAGAAGGAAAAUACUAAAAGAGUUAAGAAAAGAAAAACAUCCCUUCUAUAGUAGUCAUAACUCUUGCAAGAGCCUAAGUGAAGAACUUCGUGACUAUUAUGAAGAAAGACAUAGGUCACAUCUUAGACCUCACUCCCAUAGGAGAGAAAAGGAAAGAAAGCCUCAAGAGGCUAACAUUAACCUCCCAUACUUCCAUGGGAAGGACAAUGUAGAGGCUAACUUAAAUUGGGAAAUAAGGGUAGAGUAACAACUUAAAAGAAAGUCUACUUCAAAAUCUUAUGGCUCUCACUCUUAUCCAAAGCAAGACCAAGGUCAAGGCAUCUUAGGGGUGACACCUUCUAAGCCCUAAGAUGAUAAAGGGAAUACAACGGAAAAGCAACCCCUUAAGGCUAGUAUGCAAGAGAAGACUAGCUCCAUGAAGUGCUUUAAAUGUUUUGGAAGAGGACACAUUACUUCUCAAUGCCCCACCAAGAAAACCAUGAUUAUGAGGGGCCAAGACAUUUAUAGUAGCCAAGAUGAGGCUACUACUUCACCUUCCUCAAGUGAAAGUGAAGAAGCAAAAGGGGAAGAAUCUAGUGAAGAGAUCUACCCCCAAGAAGAAGGACAACCUUUAAUGGUUAAGGAGGAGUGUAAGGAGGUAAGUGUCUCCUUCAAGAGGUUAGUAAGAAGGAAAGAUAUUUUGAAAUAAAUACAAAUAUUAAAGAAAUUUCCCCUCUUAGACAACCUCCACAUUUUCUCCUUUGUAGAAAGACACUUGUUAGCAUUGCCACACCUCUUAGGCUUGAGUUUAUUCCUCAAGUAAAGGAGUUGUUGGAUGAGGGUUUGGUUCACAAGAGCUUAAAUCCUUAUGCUUUGUUGGUGCCCAAAAUAGGUCUUAUUAGGCACCAAAUCCCUAAAAUAGGUGGUAUGAUGAAUGUUUUGAGUGGUGCAACCCUCUUUUGUAAAAUCACUCGUGCACCCAACAUCUUCAUGAUUUGUGUACAUAGGGACUCAUUAGGUAGGUUUGUUCUUAUUUUUAAUUUCAAUACAAACUUAGGUACUCAUAUGGGACACCUUAAGUUUGUCAUACUUUUUGGUAGGAAUAAUCAACAUGAAAAUACAAAAAAAGGUAUGUUUUAUUGCAUUACUUUUCUUAAUUUUUUAAAUAGUGAUCAAGGGAUUCCCAUGUACCCUAAGAGAAUAAAGGUUAUUCCUGAGUGGCCCACUCCACCAAGUAUAAGAAAAAUUUGGGGCUUCCAUGACUUAACAAACUUUUACAAAAGGUUUUUCCCAUAUUUUUCUAUACUUGUAGUACCACUCAUUGAGUUGGUGAGGAACCAUGUUCCUUCAUGGGAAGAUGCCCAAGAAAUGAGUUUUCAGACCUUACCUUACUUCAACAUACCAAAACCCACUUAUACAUAUGUUCUUGUUCUUUUUACAGGUGUUGAGGAAAAAAGCCCAGAGUUUCAAGAACCUUGGGAUUUGAGGUCAAAUCCUUUUCAAGGGGGAGGGAAUGAUGCAAUCCUACCCUGCAAGGGCAUUGGAUAGAAGACUCCAAGAAGAUUGGGCCAGAGAUGCAAGAGAAGACCCUAGGGUUCUCAUGAGCCUUAGGGUAGAUUUUAGGCACAUAGGCUAAGUAUGAGCCCCCUUAUCUUUGUACAUAUUAGAUUAAGGUUUCAUUAUUUUUUGACCAUGUAUUUAGGGCUCCAUAAUAUAGGUAAGGUACCCUAGAAAUGUAGGAUUUUUUAGCCCUUCUAUUUUAGGGCACCUAGACUAGUUUUUGUAUUACGGGUAGUUUUGUAAUUUCACAUGCAUUAAGUGAUUAUUUGAUGUGUGUGGUUGGAAAUAAAUUUAAUUGAAUUGGGAGAAGCCCAAUCCAAUUAAAUUUAGAGGGGGAGGUGAGCAUUUGCUUGCUACACCUCAUUGCCACAUCAUAUAGUCACACUUUGUGCAUGUCCUUCAUGCUUUACAUGCCUCAUGACAUCUAAGCACACUUAGUGGAGAAUCUUGGACUUGAUCUUGGAUUAGUGGGCUGAACCAUAGCGAAAAUUCGCUAAAAUUCACUAAUCAUAAUUACUGAAAUUUUGGCUCCACAAAUUUAAUUUCAAAUUCAAGUGAAUUCAAAUUUCCCUCCAAUUUUGUGUGACACUUAGGCUAUAAAUAAAGGCCAUGUGUGUGCAUUUUUUCAACUUUAAUCAUUUGAGAAUUACACUUCAAAGUUUAGACCACUUUUGAGGCACAAAUUUCGUGCUCCCUCUCUCCUUCUCUCUACAUUCUUUUUCUCCCACCUUCAAGCUCUUAUCCAUGGCUUCCUAUGGUGGUGAGCUUCUUCUUGACGCAUCUUUUCCUUGAAGUGGCGUCUCCAAUCAUCUUUCUUCCUUCUCCAUUUCGCUACCAUGAUCUUCAAGAAGCAAAGGACUUCAUUGAUAAGGAAGAUACAAGGCCUACAAGCUCCAAUGGAGCUACAUCAGUCUUGCUUAGGUUCACUAAUAAUAGAUUUUCAUGUCUAUGUUAGGAGGGUCUAUUCUUGGAGUGAAGCUUGUAGAUCCCCUUGCAGGACUUUUUCUUGUUCCAUAUUGACCAAAACAAUACAUUUUGAAAAAUAUUAAACAAACCUGUGCUACACAUAGAUGACAUGUGUUGGAUACCUACAAAUUAUAUUAUGUAUUGAAACAAAGGUCAUUUUUAUACUCUGAAUCCUUAAUAUAACCUCUUAUACCCUUUUCUUUAAAAUUUACUUAGCGAGUAUUUUUUUUCCAGUGAUCAAGAUGAUUAUGAGGUUGUACAAAAAGUGGGCAGGGGGAAAUAUAGUGAAGUUUUUGAAAGCAUAAAUAUCAAUAGAAAUGAGCGCUGUAUAAUCAAGAUUCUGAAACCUGUCAAGAAAAAAAAGGUACUCCUUUCUUUGUCUUGUUUUUAUCCUUAGUUUUACUCAGUACCUGCAGACUGUGAAUUAAGCCAAGCAAUGAUGCUUUAGCAGAACCAUUCUCUUAAAAUCUACGAAAUAAUGGACAUAACAAAUUUCUCACACAAUCCUUAUUCCUUAAUCAUUUUUGUAAGGUAUUGGUCACCAUAUUGUACAACAAUCAUUUCCAAAAAAGUGUAACUUAAACAUUAUUACGAGAUGUUAAACAUAUGACAAAGUAUAAAUCAGUUUUUAACAUAAAGAAUAUGGCAUAAUACUUCUAAGUUUUAUCAAUAAAUAAAUAUAAUGACAUGAUAUUCAACAUUGAUAUGAUAACGAUUUAAUUAUAUAGCAUGGCAGAAGAGACCACAAUAUAGGGUCUUAGGUGAGAAUUGGAGCUUCAAGCUAGAUCAAUUUUCUUGAAAAAAGCAAGUGCCAUUGUAAAAUAUCUAGAGGAGUGGUUGAGGCAUGUCUCAACUUAUUCUUUAGACACACACACACACACACUGUUCGCUUCCGGCAAGUGCACCGGAUCGCACAAGUAGUAUAAAAUGGUAAGAAACGAGUAUCAAACUCUCGGGAAACUUGUGUUACUUGGUAAGCUAUUUCAGUAAAUAGGUGUCUGGUGUGAAAAUCUAAGUGUGAAUAUGAACAGGUAUGUAAACUAUCUAUGCAAAAAGGAAAAUCACGCGAGAGAAAUGAUGUGUAAAAACAAGUAGAAAACGCGUUGGUCUUCCUAAUAGGUGCCUGAUGCUAAAAGGAUAUUCUCUAUCUAACAAUGCUCAUGUGUUCCUAUGGUGUCUCCUGAGAUGCUAAACCCCGAUUCCUCAUGAUAGUUUAGCCUAAUCCUGAUCAAGCAUCAUCCUCAGAUUCCUCUUGUUGGACAAAACUCAACCAGGACCGCAUUAAGACAAACAUACUACAACUAAAUUAUCUCACCCCGAUUCCUCGUGAUAGUACAAUAACUUAGUCCUGUCCUAUCAAGGUCAUGAGAAUCAGACCAAUUUCCAUUGUUGAAUGACCCUAACAAAGCAUGCAUCUACGAGAUCAAGGUAAAGGCAUACUAUAAUGAAAAGCUGAUAGCACAGAGAACACACAAAAACAUCAUUAAAUAGAUAAAAAGAUAUUUACAUCAAGUACCUAUAGGGAAGAUCCAAUAGAGGAUUUUAGCUUUCCAUAACCAGGAAGCCUCCUUUACAACAAAGAGAAGAACAAGAUGAAAGAUUGCAAAAAUACAAGUGGUGAGGAUGUCUCAUUCACCUCUAGGAUCUCAAAACCACUCACAAACUCAUCUCAAGCUCUCAGAACAGCUUCCUCUUCAAGCUCUGGUCUCUACAGAUAUUCACACAGCAAAAUCUCUCAAAACUCUCUGGAACUUAGACCUUCCUUUCUCUCUCUAGAAUCACUAGACAUGCAAAGCUUCAGCUCUCCGCCCAAACUACCUUAAAAAAAUAUGAUUUAAGGCUUAAAUAGGUGGCCUUGUUCGUGCUCGUGCGCUUAGCGCAAUUCUGGACCGCUUAGUGCACAUUAGUGAAUUUUGGCUUAGCGUGUGCCUUUCUCGCUUAGCAGAUGGACUGAAGCGGUGCGCUUAGUGAGAUGAAGCGGUGCACUUAGCGAACCUAUACAGCUCAUCUUCUUCCAGAUUCUUCCUUGCGCUUAGCCAAUGAGUGUUGCGCUUAGCGGACGCUCGCUAAGCCAGCGGAUUGGCUUAGCGAGAAGGUGAAAAACACCACUUUUCAAAGCUUGCCUAAUUAACCUGAAAUUGAGAGGAAAUGAUUAUUAAACACACAAAAUAGAAUUACUAAGUAUUUGUUACCUAUCUUUAACUAAAAGAACUUAUAGCACUACAAAAUAACCAUAAAUUGAAGGAGUUUAAUACAAUUUACAUAAGUUUUAUACACAAAAGUUAGUUGUAUUCAUCGACUAACACACACACACACAAUGUAAGUGAAAAUCACUAUUACACCAUUAAGUAGCUUCUUACUGGAUCAUUUUAUCCCAAAAUCCACCAUUGGAUAGAAAUGUCUUGUCAUAGACAUCAUGUGUAUAAAGUUUUCCAUUAAUCCAAAUUUUUGUGGUACUUUAUUAAUAUACAAUUAAAUAUUAAGAUUAACAUAGUAUAUUAGAAUCAUUUUAUUAUUUUUAUUGUUCAAUUUAUAUGAGAUUUUGACACAAAUAAAUAAGGUAAUGGAUAAAUAUAAGAGUUUAAUGAUUAUGCAAUAUGGGUACACUACAAGGAAGAGAAACUAGCUAGUAAGAAAUUAUUGUCAGUGAAUAUGGUCUCAAUUGUGGAAGCAAUGACUUCCAAGAUUAUUUAGAUGAUGCCAAAGAAUCAAGAGUUAAGCAAAUUCCAAUGUUUCAAGAAUCAAGAUUCAAGAAUAAUCAAGAUCAAGAUUCAAGAAUCAAGAGAAGACUCAAUCAAGAUAAGUACCAAAUUUUUUUUUCAAAACAUUGAGUAGCACAAGAAGUUUUCACAAAAUCAUUACCAAAGAGUUUUACUCUCUGGUAAUCGAUUACCAGAAGGUAGUAAUCGAUUACCAGUAGCCAACAUUGUUUUCAAAACUGAUUUACAAAGCUGUAAUCGAUUACCAUGAGCAUGUAAUCGAUUACCAAUGUUUUAAAACAUUAGAUUUCAAAUUUCAAGAGUCACAACUAGUGAUAAAACUUUUUAAAUCAUUUUAAACUUGUGUAAUCGAUUACACAAUACUUGUAAUCGAUUACCAGAGCUUCUAAACAUUUUGAUUUUCAAAAUUUAAAUAUGAAGAGUCACAUUUGUUGAUGUGUAAUCGAUUACACCUUAAUGGUAAUCGAUUACCAGUGGCUGAUUUCGAAAAAUAAAUUUCCAAAAGUCACAAUUCUUAAAGUGACUUGUUUCUGAAGAUUUUUUCAAAAGUCACAACAAGUUUUUGAUUCAGAAAUUUCUGAUUCAUUCCUCAACUUCUUUCUAAGAGUUUUUUGUUCAAUCCUUUCUCUUUCAAGAAAAUUUCUUUGAUCAAAAACUUGUGCUGUUCUUCUUCAUUCACUUCUUCCUUUGCCAAAAGAAUAGAAGGACUAAUUGCCUGAAUUCUUUUGUGUCUCCCUUCUCUCUUCCAAGAGAAUUCAAAGGACUAACCGCCUGAGAUAUCUUUUGUUUCCCCUUACAAAGAUUCAAAGGACUAACCGUCUGAGAAUUCUUUGUCCCAACACAUUGGAGGGUACAUCCUUUGUGGUACAAGUAGAGGGUACAUCUACUUGGGGGUUGUUAUACUGAGAACAAGAGAGGGUACAUCUCUUGUGGAUUAGUUCAAGUGGAGGGUACAUCCACUUGGUUAUUCAAAGAGAACAAGGGAGGUUACAUCCCUUGUGGAUCUUUGGCUUGUAAAGGAUUUUACAAGGUUGAAAGAAAUCUCAAGAACCGGUUGCUUGCUUGGGGACUGGAUGUAGGCACAGGUUGUGACCAAACCAGUAUAAAUCUUGUGUUUGUCUUCUUCUUCCCUACACUCUUUAAUUUCCACUGUGUUCUUUUAUUUCCGCUUUACUUUUGUCUAAGUUAUUGUCUUUGUUCUUUACAUCCUCACAACUUAGUAGUAAAGCCUAAUAAAAGCUAGUAACAUUAAGAAGGUUAAAUUUUUAAUUAGUCAAGACACAUUAAUAAUUAAUUCAACCCCCCCCCUUUUUAAUUAUUCUGAGGCCACUUAUCAAACAAGUUACUUUAUACAUGGUAAUGGAACAGGUUUCAAAUUGGUUCAUUAAUGCUAGAGUUCGGCUUUGGCUGCCAAUGAUGGAGGAAAUGUACUCAGAGGAGAUGAAAGAGCAUGAACUAAAUGGUUUUGAGGAGAAAUCAACCAAGAGUGGUAAAGAUCCUGCUACAAAAACCACAAGUCCACAAGAGAAACGUACUUCCUCUGAAAUUGAAUCCAAAAGUUUCAAUUCCAAACAAGAUGUUUCCAAACAAAGCUAGAACACUCCAAUUCGUUCAACUUCUCCACCAUCAAUAUCACUUAUAGGGGGAAGUGUUAAGAACCAAUCAGGAUUCAGUUUCAUGGGGUCAUGAGAACUAGAUGGAAUCACACAAGGAAGUUGUAAAAAACCAAGGAACAAUGAAAUUCUUCACUCUCCAAACCAUGAACUUCAAUCAACAUGGAUGUGAAAGCCAACGAAGCAAACAAUGACCAACAACUCUGAAUGAAUCACGAGAGGCAUAAUAAUAGGGACAUGUACUCCUUCAUGGGGAACCAAACAAACUUCAUUAGUGGCUUUGGACAAUACCCUAUUAAGGAAAUUGGUAGGUUUGAUGUUGAGAAAUUCACACCAAGGUUUUAAGGUAAGAGUGGAGUUUCCCUUACUGUUGGUCUUCCUCAUUGUGACACAUUGUCAGGAACACACCAAAGUUUUCUUGCAAACCAAAACAUUUAACUAGGAAGAGGGUUGGAGUUGGUGAACCAAACCAGUUUGGUGCCUUGAACAAUUCCAAUUCUCACAAUUCAGCAACAUUUGAGAUUAUUAACAUGCAGAACCUGAAGAGGUUUGCUGCACAAUUACUGCCAAGUUCACACUCAACACCUGCCCAUGGAGUAUCACUGCAUGGCUUUGGAUGUGGUUGGGCCCAGUAUGGGUCUUCUAGAAGAGCAUCCAUCACUUCAAACAAUCCCAACAGUUCAUCCUCUUCCAUUGCCAUGUGCCCCUUUCAUUAUUUCCCAUUGACAUCAUUUCACUAGGAAAAAAGAGGAACCAAAGAAGAAUAAGAGACACGGAUGCCAUUAAUUUCAGAAAGUGCCUAGCUACUUCCAAAUUCCAAUUCCAACAACUCAGCCACAAAUGGAAUUGCGAAAAUUGGAUUUCGAGGUAACUGAAAAAGGCUUUGUUCCUCUUUCCCUAUUUAAGCUCUCUUGAGUCUUGAAUUAUGGAAAAGGAGAACAAUGUAAAGGUAACUCAAGAUUCAAUUUUUGUGUCACAUAACUGCUAAAGGUUGCAAAGAAAAACCAGAGCUGUUGCUGUUACCUCUCCCAAGAUUGUGUUGACUGAGUAUGAAUGUUAUUUUGCAUGGAAAAGGGUGUGAGAUGAAAUAGGUAGACAAUUGGGCUACCAUAAACGAAGUAUGACUGUUAUUUUAUGAUUUAUGCUUAAAAUUUUUCCAGGUUGCUGCAGUUCCUGAGGAUGUGGGGACAGCGGGUGCAAUUAAGGCCAUUUCACAUCACCUAACUGCUAAAAACAUUUUGGUGGAAUAUCCCCCCUCCCCUGCCCUUGUAUCCUGCGAUUUAAAAAAUGUUGUUCUUUAUUUAAGUGUAGAUUUUCUGCAGGUUGUCAGUGGUGAUCUUGUAACUUAAGUUCCACUUGGUGUUGUUGCAACUAAUCAUAGACGACAUGCUAUGCU